rnacentral:lncRNA from 1 species
GUUUGGAGACACAAGUGCCUUUACUAGUUUACGAAUUUGUCGGAAAUGGCACCCUCUUUGAGCAUAUUCAUAAGAAUGGGAACCUUACCUGGGAACGGCGUUUGAGGAUUGCAGCAGAAACUGCAGGAGUGCUUUCGUAUUUGCAUUCUGAAACUAAUGUUCCAAUAAUUCACAGAGACGUCAAAUCUGCUAACAUACUCUUGGAUGAAAAUUACACCCCAAAGGUUUCUGAUUUUGGUGCUUCAAAAUUGGUUCCAAUUGAUGCAAUUCAAAAUUACACAGUGGUGCAAGGAACUCUUGGGUAUAUAGAUCCUGAGUACUUGCAGACUUGCAAGUUGACAGAAAAAAGUGAUGUCUACAGCUUUGGGGUUGUUCUUGUGGAGCUGCUGACAGGAAAGAUGGCACUUUUGUCAGAUAAGCCUGAGGAGGAGAGGAGUCUGGCUAUGAAUUUUCUUUCUUCAUUGAAACAGAAUCGUUUGCUUGAGAUUCUUGAUAAUCGUAUUGUAAACGAUGGCAAUAAGCAGCAGCUGAAGGAAGUAGCAAGGCUAGCGGCUAGGUGCAUAAGUGUAAGAGGUGAGGAAAGGCCUACAAUGAAGGAAGUAGCGUUGGAAUUACAAGGGCGACUGAGCCUGAUGUCGAACGACCAGUACUACGUGCGGGAUAAUGUUGAAUCCACUGGUGUGCAAGAGACCAAAUACUUUACUUCUACUUUUUAUGAACGUCGAGAUGAUAUUGGUAGCCAUACAACUCCGACAGAUGGAUACGACAGUAUGCAGCAACUCGAACUGAUGGCGUUUGAUGAUGGGAGAUGAUUGGCACUGCAUGCUGUGUUUGCGCCACCUGUGUCUUUGGUUACUCUGCUGAGUCUUUAAGGAUUUAAUAAGUAACGUAGGAUCCGCGUAAGAUACAGUUCACGUAACUUACAACCGCUUUUGUGUUUUCUGAAUUAUUACUGUAAAAUAUUUUAUAACCCCUUAUACUUUAUUUUAUUUACAAUUUAUUCAUAAGUAUUAUGAAACUUUCUGUAUUGUAAAAUGUUGAUGAGCUCCUUGUACUCUGUUUUAUUUUAUUAAGACCCUUAGAGUAUCAAAUUCAUCCCCUAUAAUUUUUAAAUUCCCAAAAUACCUUCCAUUUAAUUAAAAAAUAUAAUUAUUAUUCAAUGAUUAUAAUUAUAAUUAUACUGCUGUACCGUACAUCCGCNNNNNNNNNNNNNNNNNNNNNNNNNNNNNNNNNNNNNNNNNNNNNNNNNNNNNNNNNNNNNNNNNNNNNNNNNNNNNNNNNNNNNNNNNNNNNNNNNNNNNNNUGGCCGUACAGCAGAAAUUUUUAUUAAUAAUUAACAUUAAUUAUUAUUAAUAAUUAAUUUUUGAAUAAUUAUUAAAACUAAUAAUUAAAUUGUAAAAAGAAACUUUGACAAAAAAUAGUAAAUGAAAAAGAGUGUGAGGAGACAAAUUGAAUUUUAUAGUACAAGUAAGUAGAAAGUUUCAUAACGCUUAUGAAUAAAUUGUUAAUAAUAUAGAGCAGUCUAAUUGAAUAUAGAGUGGUUUAUACUUUUAUAGUGCAUUCACUAAAUAGUAAUGGAAAUUAGUUGGAAACAUAUGAGUUUGAAUUGGAAUAGCUGGAAUCAGAAUGAGAAAUUACUUGAACUACAGGAAUCGUAAUUAGAAUGAGCUGUAUUACCAUUUAUGUAUUUAUUUUGUCUUGGAAUCAAAAUCCGAAUAAAUUAAAUUAUAAUAAAUUACUAUAAAAUCUUUAAUUAAUUUUUAUCAUAAUUAUUAUUUUGUACUUUAAUUAUUGUGAUUUNNNNAGCAGAAUAAAAUAAUUAUUACAAUUAUAAUUAUAAUCCAUUUAAUAAUUAUUAUAUUUUUUAAUUAAAUGGAGGGUAUUUUGGGAUUUUAAAAAUUAUAGGGGAUGAAUGUUAUACUCUUAAGGGUUUUAAUAAAAUAAAAUAGAGUGCAGGGGGCUCAACUUAUGAAUAAGCUGAAAAUGAUAUAAAGUGCAAGGGGGUCAACAAUAUUUUACAGUACCAAUUCAAAAAAGACAAAAACAACCGGAAGUUACGGAACCGUAACGACAUAGGUGCGUUUAACACAUUAUAUUGUAUUAUAUUAUAUUAUUUUAUUUUAUGCAAGUAUUUCGAAUUAUGUGGUAUUAUAUUAACAGUGUAAUAUAAUAAUAUUGUAUGUUGUUUGAUGUUAUACUAUAUUGUAUUAAUUUUUAAUUAUACUAUUUUUGGUGCUGCACUGCGUUGUAUUAAUUUUUUAAUGAUGAUUUUAAAUUAUAUAUUUAGAAAACAAUAUUUCUUUAAUACUUAGAAAUAUACUAAAUAUAAAAGUUUUAAAUUUUAAAGCGUUUACAUAAUUUUUAAUAAAAAUUAAAAAAUUAUAAUUUAAAAUUAACAAAAUUUUUAAAAUUUUCGACUACAUAACAGAUUCAUUAUGACUAUAAUUAUUUCAUUUUCAACUUUUAUCAACAAGAUUUGUAAACAUUUAUUUUUUUUGUAUAAUUUUGUUCGCAUACUUUUUUUCUGUGUAUUAAACCAUUUGGUAUUCGAAGACCACAUUAGGCAUCGACUAAUUCAAAUUCGAGCCGGGUAUGCCCACUAGAGCAGUAAAACUCUCCCAACAAAUAUUUAACACAGUUGCAUUCCCAAAUUUCGAACCAAUGAUUUUUUUAAAAGUUAAAACAGUCUCAUACCAGCUGAUUUACGCACUUGUUGGUUUGUUCGCAUACUUGUUUUUGUACCAUGAGAAUUGAGAAUAAAAAGAAGAGAAAGAGAAAGAACCAUUUUGGAUAUUGUGAUUGAUCGAAUAAGUUCAGUCAAUUACUGAGUCAAAAAGGAAAUAGGGUUUUUUUUUUAUAUAAUAAGUAGCAAAUAGGUUAGAUUUACAAAGAAGUUGAUACAACUCAAAGCUCAAAGAUUUGCUGCACAACAUCAAAGAUCUGAUACAAAAAACCCAUUUCAAACCACAAUUUAGAGGUGUUUCCAGCAAAGUCUCUAGUAACUCAUUGCAUACGGUUACAUAACAGAAGGGCAAAACUGAUUCAGAGAGAUUUGUACUCGUUUCUCACAAGAACAUAAGUUGCUGGUCAUGGAUUUUGGUAGUCUCCUCCUCCAAUGCAAUGAACCCCUACAAAGCGUCUUGAUUUUAAUUCACAAGCUGCAUAAAACCAUUGAAACUUUAGUCGAUUUCCAUAAAAUGAAAGCCGACAGAAAAUGUUCAAGACUGACCAGAAAAUUAGUGUGGAGGAUUAAAAUAUUUGAAGCAGUUUAUCCACUAUAAUUUUCUGCUGCACCGCACUUAAAGAUUCUGAGUUCACAUUUGCAUUACUAACAACAACCACCAUGGAUGGAGACUCAGCGUUCGCCUAGAUGAAAUAAGAAAUUCAGAAGAACAGAAGAGUACUAUUAGGAGUCGUUUCUUCAAAUAGAAUGGCUACCAAGUUCCAAGAGUUGCAAGUAGGUAACGUCUCAACAAGUAUGUAGUCAGCCUAAUUAAGGGUCUUAAGAACAUACCCACACCAAGCCAUUCAAGCCAACAACUAUCUCAAAGGAGAGUUGCUUCCCAAGUUCCUCAAUAAAUGGACAUGUUGGAGAGCUUAACAGCCUAAGGAAAGUCAGGCUCAUCUAAUUUAGAGUAGCAUAAUGAAAAACCUAAAAGCUAAUAAUUAUUGUUACGGCGACAUCAAAUAUAUUUUGUGUUGAAAUAUUCUCAAGCAUCUCUAAUUAGAUAGAAUAAUAAGGAAAGAAAUGUCUUUAUAUUCUUAAUAGACCAGUCGAAGUUUCAAGAGCUGCAGUAGAUAACGUCUAAACCAUCUUAGUAUUUAUUUUGCUGCCUCCAAAAUAAAAUUCACCAACAAUAAUAUAUACACUACGUCUAAUUAGAAUACAAAUCAAAAUGUUCUUAUAACAUACUAAUAUUUAAGUUGGCUUCAAAAAUUUUACCUCCACUUUGAAACCACUGGACAAAAGUCCUCUAAAGCUAGUAACAUCUGCAUCUGUCACUCUUGAUCUCAACGAAUUCGAAGUUUCCAUAAAUCUCACAUACCCAACAAGCUAAUGCUCGCAAAAUGCCUUGACAAAGAUCUCAUUCUCAUUAUUGCGCGACUUCAACUUGCACCUACAAUAUUUAAUAAUCAUUUGGCAUUUACGUCAUUUGAAAAUUCAUUUCAAAAGUUACAUUCAUCAUAAAGAUUUCAUCUAUUAGCAAAAUUAACUUUAAUAAGCACACAAAUACUCAACUUUACUAAAAUAGCUAAUUAUUACAUAAACCCAGCAGGUCAAUUACAGACUUAAAUAUAGAAAAUUCCAAUCAAAAUAAUGGCUCCUAUCUUUACAACUAAAUAUAACAACAGAUACACCAUACAAGAAACUCACCGCCAAAGCAUUAAUAUAGACUAAUUCUCAAAGCAAUAAAUUCUUCAUACUAAGAAGCAAGCAACCAAGCAAAAUCUGAGAAAUUCCUUGAAAUUGCAUAUAGUAAAAGACUAAAUGUGUUUUCAGGGAGUUCAAAUGGAAACUACAAAUCAAAAUCAAUUAUUAUAUGAAAUUCAAAGUGUUAAACGCCUAGCACGUGUAUACUAUAUGAAUGCAUAUCAAUAUUGUUGCCAAUUCAAAAAGAUCUAGCAUCUAUGUUUUAGUUUUGGCAUCUCAAGAAAUCACAAUUAAGUAGACAAAGGGUGAAGAAAUUCAUAACAUGACACCCUUAAGUUUCCAACAAAAGAUUCUAAAACAUCUAAUAACAAAACACACAAAAUAAAAAGCAUCAAACAUACAAAAUACAGAAUAAACAGAAUGUAUUGAUAUGGAUUGAAAUGAUAAAUAACUUCUGAAUCGAAUAGGAACAUGAAAAUAGAAACAAUUGUGAUAGAGAGAAUUAUAAAAUGUGCAGAACAGAGGACAAGAUAGAAACUUCUGGGAAAUUCUACUUGUUUAUUCACGUUGCUACUGGUACCAUUUAACUGCCAAUUGCAAGAUAAGUACCCAAAAUGUCAUCUCUACCUAAGCCAUAAGAUAUAACUACUAAUGAACCAAAUGAACUAAACUUAUCAAGAUAAAAUAAAGCAAUAAUUAUAAAUGAGACCCCCAAUCAAAAUAGAGUAUAUGUUCGAACAUCAAACCUGGGCUCUAAAGCUUGAGAAGGGAAAGACGUGGACCAACACUAUAAAUCAAUUAAAUUUCAAUUUAGAAUUAAGUCAACAAUUAAAAUCAAACCCAAAGCAAUAAUUCAAAUCUAACCUUGAUACGUUUCAAAUCAAACUCUAAUCAUAAGUUAAUUCAGAAAAUCACAAAUCUAGUACUAACCUUUUGCUUGAUGAUUCUGGUGGUGAAGAUAAAGUGCGAUGAAGCUAGAAUAAUAGUUCUGAUGUCGCGCGGCGAGGAGAUGAUGGUGCAGUAACACGGCAGAGGUGGUGGAGCAAUAGCUCUGGCGUCCCACCGGAGCCCUUGACGACGGCUUUUCUGGUGUUGGAGAUGGAUUAGGUGAGGAAGAAAGAUUUCAUGCUUUGAAGAGAAGGGAAGGAUCGUGUUCUGAAGAGAAGGAAUUUUGUUUCAUAUUUUUUCUAAUGCAAUCACGCAUAAACUUGCAGCCCCCUCGGGUUUCGGUAAUGCAUGAAUGGCAGGAUUAUAACUGUAAAAUUGGGCAAUCCAAUGUGAGGUCAUUUGCAGCCAAAAGCAGGAUUGUAUUGAUCUAAUGCUAUGCUGGGUUUUAAUACAACGUAAUGUGGUGUGCUACGUAACAUGAAUAUGAAGCACAUGCAUGGUAAAAAGGCUGUAUGUGUAUGUAUAAGUGAUCUUUGUGAUUUUUCUUAUUGUCAUACAUUGAUGUACUUCUAGAAAGGGCAAGUGCUAAUUUAAAUGGAUGCUGUUUCCGGAAGCAUAGUUUGUUAUUAGUUAAAAAAAAUGAAGGUGUUUGAUGGUUCUGUCAUAUUGUUCGACGAAAUGCCUCAAAGAAAUAUUUUUGGCGCCACCCGCAACCGUUUCAUUUGAAUUCUACAAUGCUUCAGGAGCUUGUUUAACUGCCGUCAUAAUCUCUCCAUCAACAUUGCUGAUAAUAGGCCCCAAGCCGGCAAUCUUUUUCAUCGAAUCAGUGGCUGUAUUUUUAAUUAAUUUCCGGGGGUGGCUUCCAUUACUCUUAUGAAAAGCUUCCAUUCUGUAGAAGUCAUCUCAAAGUAUUUGACUUCUUUUUUUGCUCAUCCAACAACUAAUACUUCUAUGGACAAAACUGGUUUAUCCAAACACACGUACCAUUCCUUUUCUUUUACCAACUCAAAUUAAAUGCAUCCUUUUGGAUUUAAACCAUUUACUUCUUGUGUCCUUGACAAACUAUCCUACACAAUCCUUAGAAACAAUCUUGCUGAAGUUUUCAUUAACCUUAUUUAAAUUUUCAUCAACAUUUCAAUUCCGAAGUAAUUUUCUAAGAUAUUUUAUCUCUAAUUAUCUAUCAUUCAACAGUUAAAUUUUAAAAUUCCACCUUUCUGAAAAUUUCUUAUUUCAACCAUUCCCGCACUAAUGAAAGAAUACUACGUUAGUUACAUAAAACAUAUUAUCUGUCGAGACGUUGCUUCAAUAAUGUGCAACAGAACUACAAAGGAACGUGUAUACCCUCUCAAUAAGCUAUAUAUAUUGUGGAAAUCUUCGAAGAAAUUGGCUGCUGAGAUAUCAUAAAUUUAUCCAUAAAGUUUAGAAAUCUUGUCAGGCUUUGGUAGAGGUUUGAAUGAAACUUUAUAAUAUUUUCAGUGGUAGCAGUUAUGUUUGCCGCAGUAAUCCCAUUUUGGCUUUACAUGAAAUACACAGCAACUUUUUCAUGAUAUCAAAAUAGUUAAAUAGUAUUUUUGUACUGUUGCGUUUGCCGUGUUGCAGCAAAAUCCCAUUAUUCAUGCCUGUUUUGUCAAAUACUAUUGCAAUAUAUAAUAAUACAAUUUGAUCACACACAGCUAGCAAUAUUCAUUAUGGAAGUAAGUUGUACAAGAAAUGAAAAUUGUUCCAAGUGUCCGCUUAAGUUACGGCUGGCCUGUAAACUUUCAUUCAGCCCCCUAUACUCCAUAUUAUGUAUAAUUUAUUCAUAAAUAUUAUAAAACUUUUUGAGUUGUAAAAUUUCUUUUAGCCCCUUAUACUCAAUUUUAUUUUAUUAAAACCCUAGAGUACGAAUUCGCCCCCUAUAAUUUUAAAUUUCUAAAAUAAUCUCCAUUUAAUUAAAAAUAUAAUUAUUAUUAAAUGAAUUAUAAUUACAAUUAUUAUUUUAUUAUAAUCAUAAAUAUAAUUAUAUUUUUUUAAAUAGAUUAUUAUUGUUAUUAUCAAUAACAAGAAUAAAAAGUAUUAUAACUAAUUAAUCUAUUAACAAUAAUUAUUAUGUAUUUAAAUGAGAAAUUAGAAUUAGAAUAAUUAUCUACUUGAACUGUAGGAAUUGUAAUUAGAAUGAGUUGUAUUACUAUUUAUGUAUUUAAAUGAGAAAUUAGAAUUAGAAUAAUUAUCUACUUGAACUGUAGGAAUUGUAAUUAGAAUGAGUUGUAUUACUAUUUAUGUAUUUAAAUGAGAAAUUAGAAUUAGAAUAAUUAUCUACUUGAACUGUAGGAAUUGUAAUUAGAAUGAGUUGUAUUACUAUUUAUGUAUUUAAAUGAGAAAUUAGAAUUAGAAUAAUUAUCUACUUGAACUGUAGGAAUUGUAAUUAGAAUGAGUUGUAUUACUAUUUAUGUAUUUAAAUGAGAAAUUAGAAUUAGAAUAAUUAUCUACUUGAACUGUAGGAAUUGUAAUUAGAAUGAGUUGUAUUACUAUUUAUGUAUUUAAAUGAGAAAUUAGAAUUAGAAUAAUUAUCUACUUGAACUGUAGGAAUUGUAAUUAGAAUGAGUUGUAUUACUAUUUAUGUAUUUACUUUGUCUUAGAAUCAAAAUUAGAAUGAGUAAAAUUGUAACAAAUUAUAAAUAAAAUCCUUAAUUAAUUUUUAUUAUAAUUAUUAUACAAUAAAUGCGAAAAUUAAAUUGCAGAAUUAAACUGCUGUACCGUACAUCCGCCUUGGCCGUACAGCAGUAUUGUUAUUAUUAUUAUUAUUAAAAAAUUAAUUAAUAAGAAUAUUAAUUAUUAUUAUCAUUAUUAACAAUUGAACUAAAAAAAUAUUAUUAAUUAUUGAUAAUAAAUUAAUUAAUUAUAAGACUUUUUAUUCUUGUUUUUGUUAAUAAUAAUCAUCAUCAUCCAUUUUAAAAUUAUAAUUAUAAUCCAUUUGAUAGUAAUUAUAUUUUUAAUUAAAUUGAGGGUAUUUUGAGAAUUUAAAUUAUAGAGGGCGAAUUGGUACUUUAACGGUUUCAAUAAAAUAAAACAAAGGGUAAGCAAUUAAAUGAAAUUUUACAAUGUAGAAAAUUUCAUAAUAUUUAUGAAUAAAUUGUAAAUAAUCAGAAGUAUAAGGGGCUGAAAACUAUUUUACAGGGCAGCCGAAAUGUAACUUAGGCGGACCCUUGUUCCAAACUGCAGCAAUCAUCAUCAAUGGAUGUGUCACCAUGUGGCUCCAAUAUUAUCAAUUCAUGCAAUAGUAAUAAUAAGGAAAAAGUUAUUUACCCCGAAUUGUGCCCCGACUUGCGCCCCAAUGAAACUCACCGUUUUACUAAAAUUGAAAAUGCACCGUUUGGAAACUUUUUUCCUUUCGUUUGGAAAGACUUAGCUAAAUUGAAAACGCCCCGAAUGAAGCUCCAAAACGAACCGUUUUCAUGAAGCAUUCCUCUGUCAAAAAUGGCUGCUGCAGCGUGCCAACCACCAUUUGUCAAGAUCAACUUCUGCAGCAUCUUCUUCAUUAUUCUUUCUUCCUUUUUCUUCAUUCCAAAAUUACUGCUGUCGAAUUCUUCUUUCUUCUUCAACAAAUGUUAGCAUCCUCGAGUUCUCCAGCCACAGAUCAUACAAUAUUAUUAGAAUCAAAAGGUUAUAGAACAAGAUUUACAGAUGCGAGAAACGAGGUGUAAAUGAUAAAGAUUCGUGACUAAAUUCUUCUACACCCAGUUUGCAUCAUACAAACCCUUCAACAGAAAUUACUAUCAUAUAGGAACAAAGCCAUCUACGUUUGUGACAAAAUAUCAUUCAGAAAACAGAUCUCAGACGCAAAUCAAUUCAUAAUUGCGUGCAAAUAAAAUUUUAGGAUGAGGAAUAUAAGCAGGAGUGCGCAAGCACGUAAUGGUGCACAACUGUUUUCGUGUUAGCUUUAUGGCUGGGUGAUGGCUAGUGUGAUGGCAAUUGUGGCUGGAGGCUCGCGGCUGAAUCAAAACGAUUCGUUUAGAAAUUAAAAGGAAACAGAUCACAGCGAAACGACGUCGUUUUGGAGACUUUCGGGGUUUGACUCAGGAUAAAUAGCAGCGCUCUAAUAAUAAUGGUGGUGGCUGUGCAACUACAAAGGCUAAAAGAUGUCAAUAUUGGCUGCAUCUAGAAGCUUUGAAUUUGAAUAAAUAAGAUUGGUGGCAUACGGCUUUGAAGAUUGAAAAUGGGCCGAAAUGCUUGAAGAGGAAAAUGGAAAAAGAAAUGUUUGAAGAAGAAAAUGAGGAACACGGUUUUGACUUUCUUGGCCAUCAUUUUGCUAUAAAUAGAAGUGCAAAUGAAGAGCUUAAGUAUUCCAUUAGGAGAGCAAUUUAGCAGUUGAGAGAGAGUUUAGAGAGCUUGAAUUUAUAAGCUCUUGUUAUAGUGAUUUAGAGAGUUUGGGUGUAUUGGGGUUUUGGAAUUAACAAGAUAAAAAGCGAAAGGGACUUACUUUUGUAAAAGCUCAGCAUAGAUAGUGCAGCUCUGACUCCCAAACUAUUGACCUCUUUAUCAUCUAAUUAAAAAUCCAAAACCCAUCAAAUUUCAGAGUCAAGAAGUUAAAAUAUUGAAUUUUUUCCUUUUUUUCUGUCGAGAGAAGAGAGAGUGAGGGGGACCUCAGACCUUCUUGCGGAGUGUUCGGAUCCGAGUCAGUGCCCAAUCCACGGACUGUUUGAAGAAGAAAAUUUUUGGUUUUCGCGGGAAGGCGAAAAGCGGAAAUAUGGUUUUGGUUUUUACGGUGAUAUUUGGAUGAACUGAAAUUAGGGUUCUGGAAAUGAAGCGAGGUGGACAAGGGUUUGUUAUGGCAGUUAAGUGAAACCGCCAUUUCAACUGUCCAAGUCUUCUGUUGGAGAGCUUGAAUUUAUAAGCUCUUGUUAUAGUGAUUUAGAGNNNNNNNNNNNNNNNNNNNNNNNNNNNNNNNNNNNNNNNNNNNNNNNNNNNNNNNGAGAGUUUGGGUGUAUUGGGGUUUUGGGUAGUGAGCUAAAAUACUACAAUACUUGUAACUCAUUUUCACUAGUAAAAUAUUUCCUUCUGUCUUCGCCCGUGGAUGUAGGCUAAAAGCCAAACCACGUAAUUUCUGGUAUCCUCUAGUGUGCUUGUUCUUUAUUUUCUUCCAAUUUUAUUUUAGCUGCGUGUCUGCUUCACCCACCAAUUUCCUAACAGUGGUAUCAGAGCUAUUGGUUGUAUUUUUUGGAGUCAGGAACUGUUCACGUAAGGGGUACUAUUCACGUAUAUGGCAUUAUACACGUAUACGAUACUAUUCAUGUAUACGUACUGUUCACGUAUACGAUACUGUUCACGUAUACGGUACUAUUCACGUGAAACGGUGGAAGCGAUCCAAGAAUUUUGCGGUGCAAAGCAGGGAAUAAUGGUGUGAGUAAAGCAACUGUGUGGUUUUGUACAUGUCUAGGAAAGUUUUGUCACAAAGGCGAUAAGAGCUUAAGGAGUCUGGGUUUUAAUUGGGACCAUUGUGACCCCUCCAGUCUUUCCUGGGAACUUUCCUGGUGUGCAUUCUCACACGUACUCACAACUAUUCAAGGUGGUAUACUAGCUUGUGUGCAGUAUUUAUCAACAAAAUGGCGGCAAAGUAUGAAAUUGAGAAAUUUAACGGAAAUAAUUUUUCGUUGUGGAAAAUGAAGAUGAAAGCUGUAUUGAGGAAAAAUAAUUGCUUGGCAACAAUUAGAGAAAGACCCAUGGAGAUAACUGAUGACAAGUGAAACGAGAUAGAUGGCAACGCCAUUUCUGAUCUACACUUGGUACUUGCAAACGGAGUAUAAUCCAGUGUGGCAGAGAAAAAUACAGCGAAGGAAAUAUGGAAUACUCUCACAAAAUUGUACGAGGCCAAAUCACUACACAACAAAAUAUUCUUGAAGAGAAAACUUUAUACUCUUCGAAUGGCGGAAUCUACAAUGGUGACCGACCACAUCAACACCUUGAAGACUCUAUUUUCACAACUCACAACGUUAGGUUAUAAUAUAGAGGAAAAUGAACGUGCAGAGCUUCUACUUCAAAGUCUACCAGAUUCAUAUGAUCAACUCAUCAUCAACCUGACGAACAAAAAUCCAGUGGACAGUCUAGUUUUCGACGAUGUUGCAGCCUCUGUAUUAAAUUAGGAGAGCAGGCGAAAAAAUAAGGAAAACAGACAAGUAAGUUCGCAGCAAGCGGAGGCGCUAUCGGUGACGAGAGGGAGAUCAACGGAACGUGGCCCCAGUGGGAGUCAAAAUCAUGGUAGAUCAAAAUCCAGAAGUAAGAAGAAUGUUAAAUGCUACAACUGUGGCAAGAAAGGGCACGUCAAAAAUGAGUGUUGGAGUAACCAGAAGAGAAGAGAGGUGGCAGAGAAAAAUACAGCGAAGGAAAUAUGGAAUACUCUCACAAAAUUGUACGAGGCCAAAUCACUACACAACAAAAUAUUCUUGAAGAGAAAACUUUAUACUCUUCGAAUGGCGGAAUCUACAAUGGUGACCGACCACAUCAACACCUUGAAGACUCUAUUUUCACAACUCACAACGUUGGGUCAUAAUAUAGAGGAAAAUGAACGUGCAGAACUUCUACUUCAAAGUCUACCAGAUUCGUAUGAUCAACUCAUCAUCAACCUGACGAACAACAAUCCAGUGGAGAGUCUAGUUUUCGACGAUGUUGCAGCCUCCGUACUAAAUGAGGAGAGCAGGCGGAAAAAUAAGGAAAACAGACAAGCAAGUUCGCAGCAAGCGGAGGCGCUAUCAGUGACGAGAGGGAGAUCAACGGAACGUGGCCCCAGUGGGAGUCAAAAUCAGGGUAGAUCAAAAUCCAGAAGUAAGAAGAAUGUUAAAUGCUACAACUGUGGCAAGAAAGGGCACGUCAAGAAAGAGUGUUGGAGUAACCAGAAGAGAAGAGAGGGCAAAGAACCUGAGUCAUCAAAUGCUCAGGGGUGUGUAGCAAGUACCUCAGAUGAUGGCGAAAUUCUCUACAGUGAGGCAACAACUGUUUCAGAAGGCAGAAAACGACUAUCUGAUGUCUGGCUUAUAGACUCAGGAGCUACCUGGCACAUGACCUCUAAGAGAGAAUGGUUCCACACAUAUGAACCUAUCUCAGGAGGAUCUGUAUAUAUAGGUAAUGAUCAUGCCUUGGAGAUCGCUGGUAUUGGUACUAUCAAAAUAAAAAUAUUUGAUGGUACAAUUCGCACAAUUGGGGAGGUACGACAUGUCAACGGCCUGAAGAAAAAUCUAUUGUCUUUGGGACAAAUGGAUAGUCAUGGGUACAAAACUCAUGUGGAGAAUGGAAUAAUGAAGAUUGUUAAAGGUGCGCUUGUAUUGAUGAAGGCAGAAAAGAUUGGUGCUAAUUUAUUCAUGCUUAAAGGAGAAACACUACAGGAGGCUGAUGCAUGUGUCACGUCAAAUGGAGAAGAAUCAACAAUGAUGUGGCACUGCUGUACGGCCAAGGCGGAUGUACGGUACAGCAGUAAGCAGCAUAGAUUAAAAUUCAGUAGAUCUAUUGUUAGAAGUAAAUGCAUUCUAGACUUGAUUCAUUCUGAUGUUUGGGAAUCACCGGAUAUAUCCAUGGGAGGUGCAAAGUACAUGGUGACUUUCAUUGAUGAUUAUUCCAGAAGAUGUUGGGUGUAUCCAAUUAAGAAAAAGUCAGAUGUAUAUGUACGGUACAGCAGAUACAAAGCGCGGGUGGAACUUGAAUCUGGUAAAAAGAUCAAGUGCUUAAGGACGGAUAAUGGUGGAGAGUAUAUAGACGGCGAGUUUCUUACUUUCUGUAAGUAAGAAGGUAUUCAGAGGCAGUUCACGGUGGCAUACACUCCUCAACAAAAUGGAGUGGCGGAGCGGAUGAACAGAACUCUUACAGAAAGAAUAAGAGCUAUGUUGAAGACUGCUGGUCUACCCAAUUCAUUCUGGGCAGAAGCAGCCAAAACUGCAUGUUAUAUAGUAAAUCGGUCGCCAUCUACAGCAAUUGGGUUGAAGACGGCGAUGGAGAUGUGGACUGGAAAGCCAGCUGAUUAUUCCUACCUACAUGCAUUUGGAGGUCCUGUGUAUGUGAUGUACAAUGCCCAAGAAAGAACAAAGCUGGAUCCAAAAUCUAGAAGAUGUAUCUUCUUGGGAUAUGUUGAUGGAGUAAAGGGGUAUCGUCUGUGGGACCCCACUGCCCANNNNNNNNNNNNNNNNNNNNNNNNNNNNNNNNNNNNNNNNNNNNNNNNNNNNNNNNNNNNNNNNNNNNNNNNNNNNNNNNNNNNNNNNNNNNNNNNNNNNNNNNNNNNNNNNNNNNNNNNNNNNNNNNNNNNNNNNNNNNNNNNNNNNNNNNNNNNNNNNNNNNNNNNNNNNNNNNNNNNNNNNNNNNNNNNNNNNNNNNNNNNNNNNNNNNNNNNNNNNNNNNNNNNNNNNNNNNNNNNNNNNNNNNNNNNNNNNNNNNNNNNNNNNNNNNNNNNNNNNNNNNNNNNNNNNNNNNNNNNNNNNNNNNNNNNNNNNNNNNNNNNNNNNNNNNNNNNNNNNNNNNNNNNNNNNNNNNNNNNNNNNNNNNNNNNNNNNNNNNNNNNNNNNNNNNNNNNNNNNNNNNNNNNNNNNNNNNNNNNNNNNNNNNNNNNNNNNNNNNNNNNNNNNNNNNNNNNNNNNNNNNNNNNNNNNNNNNNNNNNNNNNNNNNNNNNNNNNNNNNNNNNNNNNNNNNNNNNNNNNNNNNNNNNNNNNNNNNNNNNNNNNNNNNNNNNNNNNNNNNNNNNNNNNNNNNNNNNNNNNNNNNNNNNNNNNNNNNNNNNNNNNNNNNNNNNNNNNNNNNNNNNNNNNNNNNNNNNNNNNNNNNNNNNNNNNNNNNNNNNNNNNNNNNNNNNNNNNNNNNNNNNNNNNNNNNNNNNNNNNNNNNNNNNNNNNNNNNNNNNNNNNNNNNNNNNNNNNNNNNNNNNNNNNNNNNNNNNNNNNNNNNNNNNNNNNNNNNNNNNNNNNNNNNNNNNNNNNNNNNNNNNNNNNNNNNNNNNNNNNNNNNNNNNNNNNNNNNNNNNNNNNNNNNNNNNNNNNNNNNNNNNNNNNNNNNNNNNNNNNNNNNNNNNNNNNNNNNNNNNNNNNNNNNNNNNNNNNNNNNNNNNNNNNNNNNNNNNNNNNNNNNNNNNNNNNNNNNNNNNNNNNNNNNNNNNNNNNNNNNNNNNNNNNNNNNNNNNNNNNNNNNNNNNNNNNNNNNNNNNNNNNNNNNNNNNNNNNNNNNNNNNNNNNNNNNNNNNNNNNNNNNNNNNNNNNNNNNNNNNNNNNNNNNNNNNNNNNNNNNNNNNNNNNNNNNNNNNNNNNNNNNNNNNNNNNNNNNNNNNNNNNNNNNNNNNNNNNNNNNNNNNNNNNNNNNNNNNNNNNNNNNNNNNNNNNNNNNNNNNNNNNNNNNNNNNNNNNNNNNNNNNNNNNNNNNNNNNNNNNNNNNNNNNNNNNNNNNNNNNNNNNNNNNNNNNNNNNNNNNNNNNNNNNNNNNNNNNNNNNNNNNNNNNNNNNNNNNNNNNNNNNNNNNNNNNNNNNNNNNNNNNNNNNNNNNNNNNNNNNNNNNNNNNNNNNNNNNNNNNNNNNNNNNNNNNNNNNNNNNNNNNNNNNNNNNNNNNNNNNNNNNNNNNNNNNNNNNNNNNNNNNNNNNAGGAAGAAAUUGAAGCUCUACACAAGAACAAGACAUGGGAACUUGUACCACUACCACACGGAAGAAAAGCCAUUGGAAACAAAUGGGUCUACAAGAUCAAACGUGAUGGCAAUGACCAAGUGGAGCGGUAUCGUGCAAGACUGGUGGUGAAAUGAUAUGUUCAGAAAGAAAGUAUUGACUUUAACGAGAUAUUUUCUCCGGUGGUUUGACUCACAACAGUCAGAAUAGUCUUAGCAAUGUGUGCUAUAUUUGACUUACAUGUAGAGCAGUUAGAUGUGAAAACUGCAUUUCUUCAUGGAGAACUUGAAUAAGAAAUAUAUAUGCUCCAUCCAGAAGGUUUUUCAUAAAUAGGAAAGGAGAACUUGGUUUGCAGGUUGAACAAAUCUCUAUACGGUCUCAAACAGGCGCCGAGGUGUUGGUACCAAAGAUUUGAUUCCUUCAUCAUGAGCCUUGGAUAUAACAGACUCAGUUCAGACCAUUGUGCAUAUUACAAAAGGUUUGAAGAUAAUUAUUUCAUCAUUUUGCUGUUGUAUGUGGAUGACAUGUUGGUAGCAGGUCCCAACAAAGAUCGAAUCCAAGAAUUGAAGGCACAGUUGGCUAGGGAGUUUGAAAUGAAGGACUUGGGACCAGCAAACAAGAUUCUAGGGAUGCAAAUUCACCGAGACAGAAAUAACAGGAAGAUUUGGCUUUCUCAGAAAAAUUACUUGAAGAAAAUCUUGCGGCGCUUCAACAUGCAAGAUUGUAAGUCAAUUUCUACCCCACUUCCUGUUAAUUUCAAAUUAUCCUCAAGUAUGUGUCCUAGCAAUGAAGCAGAGAGAAAGGAGAUGUCUCGAGUUCCGUAUGCAUCAGCAGUGGGAAGUUUGAUGUUCGCUAUGAUAUGUACAAGACCGGACAUUGCACAAGCAGUGAGAGCAGUCAGUCAAUACAUGGCGAAUCCUGGUAGAGAGCAUUGGAUAGCUGUGAAGAGGAUUCUGAGAUACAUCAGAGGAACCUCAGAUGUUGCAUUAUGUUAUGGAGGAUCAGAGUUUACUGUCAGGGGCUAUGUGGAUUCAGAUUUUGCAGGAGACCUUGAUAAAAGGAAAUCCACUACUGGUUAUGUGUUUACACUUGCGGGAGCAGCUGUAAGCUGGGUUUCGAAACUGCAGACCGUUGUGGCUUUAUCUACAACAGAAGCAGAGUACAUGGCAGCUACACAAGCUUGCAAGGAAGCUAUUUGGAUACAAAGAUUAUUGGAGGAGCUCGGGCACAAACAACAGAAAAUUCUUGUGUUUUGUGACAGUCAGAGUGCCUUGCACAUUGCAAGGAAUCCAGCCUUUCAUUCCAGGACAAAGCACAUAGGAGUUCAGUAUCAUUUCGUUCGAGAAGUAGUGGAAGAUGGAAGUGUGGAUUUACAGAAAAUCCAUACGAAGGAGAACCUAGCAGAUGUUUUGACCAAGCCGAUAAAUACUGAUAAGUUUGUCUGGAGUAGAUCCUCUUGUGGCCUAGCAGAAACGUAGGCAACAUGAUUAUGGCGAAGCAGAAAGGACGGUGUGGAGAUUGAUUGUUUUUCAAUCUAAUCUCCAAGUGGGAGAAAUGUUGAAUAUGGGGCACCACUCUUCUAGAAAUGUUGAAAAUGGGCCCUCUUCUAGAAAUGUUGAAAAUGGGCCGAAAUGCUUGAAGAGGAAAAUGGAAAAAGAAAUGUUUGAAGAAGAAAAUGAGGAACACGGUUUUGACUUUCUUGGCCAUCAUUUUGCUAUAAAUAGAAGUGCAAAUGAAGAGCUUAAGUAUUCCAUUCUGAGAGUAAUUUAGCAGUUGAGAGAGAGUUUAGAGAGCUUGAAUUUAUAAGCUCUUGUUAUAGUGAUUUUGAGAGUUUGGGUGUAUUGGAGUUUUGGGAAGUGAGCUAAAAUACUACAAUACUUGUAACUCCUUUUCACUAGUAAAAUAUUUCCUUCUGUCUUCGCCCGUGGAUGUAGGCUAAAAGCCGAACCACGUAAUUUCUGGUGUCCUCUAGUGUGCUUGUUCUUUAUUUUCUUCCAAUUUUAUUUUAGCUGCGUGUCUGCUUCACCCACCAAUUUCCUAACAAAAGAUUCAGAAUACCUGAGAAUUUAUCUUGCCCACGGCCCACCAGCUCCAGUGAAGAAAAGGGUAACCUCAUCAAAUUUAUCAUAAAAAAGAUCUCCCAUCAAUUUUUUUAAUUCUCCAGAUAUUGAGAUUUAUUCUUGUUUGCUUCCCAAAAAAAUAUCUCAUCUUGAGUUGUAAUCUUGUUAUAGCAUGAAUUAAUGAGAAGCUAGGGUUGUCAUGAAAUUUUAUUUUAUUUUUGGUAGUCAGUGUGUUAAACUCGAUUACAAUUCAGGAAAUUAAAAAGAAAACUUUGGCUUCAAAAUCAGAAACUUGAGUUGGAAUUUAUUGUUUGAAUUUAGAACCAUAGAUUUUUAUUAAUAUCAGCUUAAUUUUCAGUUUGAUAUUUCUAUGAAUUGUUUUAAUUUCUUGUUUAUGAAUUAAGCCUCAAUUUCUUUCUUUUUUUGUACUAAAAAAACCAUUUUCAAUAUUUGAAUUAUCAAAUGGGAUUAGGUUCUCUCUCUUAUCACAAACUUAAAGAGGGGAAAGAAAAAGCAGGCAAUAUUUUGCUUCCGCGUGGAUGAUAGAUUAAUAUAUUAGUUAGUGCAUGGAAUCUAUAGCUACAAGCAGUCACCUUUUUGUAUUUUUUUAAAUUUAUAUAAAUUUAAUCUCGAGAGACUAAUUAACUUUAACAGUUUCACGGUUAAUGUGUUCGUUAAUCCACCUAAGAUUAAAUGACAAAUACAACACAAUAGAAACACGAAAGAAAAUUCUGACACGAUUAAUUUGACAUAAAAUAUAUUACCUAAUAAAGUUGUGUAAUUUGUUUUCAAGACCAAUUAAUUUCGCCGUCACAAGAAAUUAUUAGCACGAAGGAUAAAUGUUCUCAUAACUCUUACUGAAUUUAUGAUUCAAUUAGUCUCGUAUUUUGAAUAAUUGAUUAAAACAUCAUUAGGUGAAAUACAAUUUUAUAAUGAGAAAUUAUUUUAUCUAACUUCACCAAGUGGUUCUAAACUAUUUUGUUCGGUUGACUAUAUGAGUUUGAAUCCUAAAAGGAAGAGGUUAAAAAAUCAAUUUAAAUCUUGUUCAUCUUUUACUUUAAAAAAAAAAAAAAAAGGACACCACAGUAAUAUAAUACAGAUCUUUUGAGUAAUUUUUAAAUAUAUAUGAAUUAACUAUGUAGUUGACUCAAACGGUAAAAACCAAAGAAACAUUCGCCCUUUGUAUAAAUUUAGUUAUAACUUACGUGUUAAGAAGACCAUAUACAUAUUUGAUAGCUUUCUUGUUUUAAAAAGGUCAAAAGUAUAUUUAUGAAUGAGUUAAAACAUUGGUGAAUUACUAACUUAUUUUGUCAAUAAGUAGCAUCACAAUUAUUUUAGACAAAUCAAGAAGAAUUUAAUUAAUUAGUUGCCUAAACUUCUUUGUGUAAAAUUUAAAAAAAUAGUGUAAAUAUUAUCUAAUUAUUUUCUCUCUGAGGAAAAUUUUGAAGGGAUUUUGACAAAGAAAAAGCCUCGCUCAAGUGAUCUAGGCCGGGUUUAUCCAAUUUCGGGCACAUAGGGGUCCCAGACUUUGAAUUUUUUAGGCCUUUCCAGGAGCCAGGCAUAAAGUUACAGGGAAAAACCAAAGAAUGAAAUUUUGAACAAUCAAAGUAUGACCAAAGAAAGUCUUAACAUGACUCACUUGUGAACCACAAUUGUAACGAAACAAUAAACUUUUUUGCUCAUUGAGAAGCUAAACAAUCAAUUAUCAAUGUAUGUUUUUGAAAUUCUUUUCUACGCCAUCACGUUGUGUGUGUGUGUGUUUAGAGGUCUAUUAGUCUUUUUAAUUAUCUUUUUCAUUUGGGUUAUUGACCGUCCAUAUAGUAUAUCAAUUUAUUUUGUGAAUAAUUUAGACUCUACUCUGUUUUCUAAUUGCAUGAUUUAUAAUGAUGUUAAUUAGCAUAUAAUUUGCUUUGUACUUUUUUUUAUUUCUUUCUAGUGAUAAUAUAUAAUUUCUUCUAGUUGACGGCUUGAACGUAAACAAGUUAAACUUAAACCAUUGACCUCUUAUUUCUAUCUCUUACCUCUUUAUGGAAUCUAGUGGGAAUCAAGAUAAAUACAUUUGUUAACCGCAAAAAUCUAGCAAAUAAUUAUUGAAGAAAAAUAUAUUCUAUAUAAGAGAAAUUGCCCUACAGGAAGGCAUAAGUUAUCAGUAUCGGGAUCUCAGCCUAAUGGCUUGUUCUAUUUUAUGAGUUGGACUAUUACAAUCCUUUCCCCCUAGUAUCUAUUACAAUUACAUUUAGACUGUGUUUGGUGCAAUCUCAUGUUUGGCUGGAAUAAUUUGUUUCCAUAAUGCAACAAAUUGCCACAUUAACUAAAUCCGACGAAGACUUUAGAUGGACUUCUUGAAAACAAAAUUCUUUGAAUUUGUUGGAUUAGCUUCUCUUUUUUCUUUUUUCUUUAUUUUAUAUAACUAAUAAUAAAUACUAAAAUAAUAAUAAAUUUAAAUAAUAUUAGUUUAAAAUUAAUAGUAAUAUAAAUAAUGAUAUAAAAUGUUAUUACAUGUACUAUAGUUCAUAUUUCAGCAAAUAUGAUAUUGCAUUGUAAUUUAAUACAUCGUAAUGCAACACCGUAAUACAAAAUAAUAAAGUGUGUCAAAUGCACCUUAGCGCAUAUUUGAGAUUUAGAUUGUCAAAUAACCACUUAUUUGACCAUCUACCAAUCCAAAGCAUGUUUGGUAAGCUUAUUAAAAUGAACAAUUCGAAAAUAAUAUUCUUUGAGAAUCUGAUUUUGUACCAAAUGUUAAAAGCUUGUUUGAGUAGUUUUUGAAAAUCAUUUUUUUUAUGAAUUUGAUUUCACAAUAUAUAAUAUCAAAAUUAUCCUCACCUUAAAAUCAUAUUUCCAAAAAAAAAAACCUAAACUAAAAUUAAGGUAAUCGAUUUAAAGGACUUCUAGAUAGACUGAUAAACUUGGUCAUUCUCUUAUUACAUAUUUAGAAUUUCUUUAAAUAGUCAAAUAAUCACUUAUUUGAUAAUCUAACAAUCCAAAACAUGUUUAGUAAGGCUUCUUAAACUGGACUACUUGAAAAUAAGAUACUUUGAAAUUCUAAUUUUGUAUUGAAUAUUAAAAACUUGUUGGAGUAGCUUUUGAAAAUCAAAAUUUUUCAGAAUUUGAUUUUAUAAUACAUAAUGCCAAAAUUAUCCUCAUCUUAAAAUCAUAUUUCCAAAAAUAUUUAUAAACUACACUACAAGAACACUGACAAUAGAUGACAGACAUUUUGUCACAGAUUUUGAGAAAAAAGUUAUAAGUCAUAAAAGCAUGAUAAAUUCCUGAUAAAAUUUUGUGUCUAUCAAAUAUUUAUGAUGGACUCGUGAUAGAAAUAAAUUAUGUCAAGGAUUAUGAUAAAAUUGUGAUAGAAUAUAGUACAUCAAGAAUUCAUAAAAGAAUUUUAAAGUUGACUUUAUUUUGGCACUUGUUUGACCAAAAUUUUGGUUAUUAUUUGAAAUAAAAUGUUUAUAAAUCAAGAAACGUCAUCGUUUUACUUCAAUAGGACAACGACAUUUUACUCAUGAACUUAAAAUAUUAAUUUUUAAAAUUUCUAAUUAUAAAAAAAAUUAAAAAAUAAAACACGCAUCGUCAUGGUGCUCUGUAAUCUAAUUUUGUUCUAAGUGUCAAAUGAACAACACACACAAAGAGAAAGUCGAAGCUUGAAAUCCCUCAACACUGACUCUUUCUUCACCAUCAUCUAGCCGAAAACUUGGACGUAGUUGUUCGCCAUUGUCUUCUUCACACACUGGCUAUUGAUUACAUUGUGAAAUUGACUGAGUGAAGUGCAUUUCCUUCUCUCGCCGUUUUCCUCACUAUCGUCUUUUUUCCUCCUCUUAUCAUCUUCCUCUUCGUCAUCAUCUUUCCUCAUCUUGUCGUCUUCCUCUCUGUCAUCUUCUCAAAACCCUUGGUAUGAUUUUUAUUCUCUUUAAACCCUAGUUAUGUGCUUUUGCAUGUUGUUUACUAUGCAAAAAUAAAAGUCAGUAAUUAAUUAAUUUUAUAUAUAAUUAAUCUGAACAAAAAACCUAAUUCAAAAAAUAUGAAUCAAACAACUUAAACCAAUUAGUUAAUUUAUUGAAAGAGAACAAAGAAUGCUAGUUUCUUAAGGUUAGUAGUUAGCAGUAGCAAGUGCGAUGUAUAUAUAGGAGAUGAAGGACUAGAGAAAAUGGAUGAUUAUCUAGGCUAUUGUUUCUUGGUUUUUUAAGAUUAGCAAUAGCAAUAGAAAAUGUGAUGUAAAUUUAAAAGAUAAAGGAUCCUUAAAUAAGAGCUCCUUUUCAAGCACCCACAAAUUGUUUCUUUUUAGAAUUGUUCUAAUGGCAGCAAUUUCAACCAAUCAACUUAAAAACAUUUGUGUACUUUCUAGAUUUCGCUAUGGAAAGUAUAAAAAGUUCGUUCAGGCAACCAUAGAUCUUGGUUGUGCUAUAGCAGAGAGGAAACUACAUCUUGUAUAUGGAGGAGGUGACCGAGGGUUAUCAAAACUUGUCUCUGAAGCUACUUUCGUUCGAGGAAGCCAAGUGUUAGGUAUCAUUCCAAAAGCCUUAAAACCUUUAGGAUGUCUACCAGAGCCACAAACUAAAGAAGAGUUAAUUGUCUCAGAUAUGCAAGAAAAAAUAUCUGAAAUGUUAAAUCAUGCUGACGCUUUCAUUUUCUUGCCAGGAGACCUUGCAACUUUAGAGGCGCUAAUUAUAUUUGCUUCUUGGGCCCAUUUGAAUAUCCAUAAAAAACUUCAUCGGUUUGUUAAAUGUUAAUAACUUUUAUGAUGACUUAAUAACAUUUCUUAAUCAUGCAAUAAAAAAUUAUUCCAUUCCAUCCUCAGCGAAAAAACUCUUCAUUUGUGCUCCUACUGCUAAUGAGUUACUUGAUCUUUUGCAAGCUUACAAACCAGAGCCAGAUCCCAUGACUUUGGCGUUGGAUUGGGCAACUGAUGACGAUGACAGUAACUCUCGUAAAAAGUGUAAAUUAGAUUUAACUCUCUAUUUGUAAAUAUUUUCAGCAGUGGUCAUGUGAUAUCUUCUAAACUCUACUCCUUUCUUUAGACAUUGAGUACAAUGUCUCCUUCAGGUUGGAGGGAGGGAAUAGUUGAUAAUUGUGAAAUGUCUCAGUCUUAGUGAUGUUUUUACUAAUUUGUUUUGUAAAGACUAACUUUGGAUAAAAAUUUGAGUCGAAGAUGGCAGAAUAUAGAAUGCAGUGUCUGUAGAAACGCAUCUUCUUAAGUUAGUGUUUUGUUUCCAAAAAAAAAAAAUUCUUCUAACUUUUUGUUUUUUGUCAUUUUCUCUUAACCAUCUCCCUUAAAUUUCUGCAAUCAAUCCCAAUUUUUUAGUAUUUUCUAAAAAAAAAAAUUCUUUCUCGAUGUGAUCUUUUAACAUUGGAUAACAUUAUGAUUUUUUAAUUUUGGUAUUCGUAUUAUCUUUGACCUUGAGUUAUGUUACACUAUAUUUUCCACUUUGCAUGUUGAAACGUAAAUUGAGAAAUUGGAUGAGUGAAAUUGAUUAAUCCAUUUAGAGGAAUGUACAUGUUAUGAAAAGUCCAACCGAGAUUUUGAGCCUAUUAUCCUUGGAGAGUAACCAUGUUUGCCUAUACAGCUUCAUAAUUUAUUGUACAAGAUCUCAAUAUUUAAAAAAAAAAAAAAGACAGUUUGUGCAGCCGCAUCUAAAAGUCCAUUGAAUUAGUGGAUAUGAAAUAUUAUUUAGAACCCUAAAAGAUGACAGAAGGCCAUCUUUGGUACGUUUGAGUCUUUCUAGCCAACCCUAUUAUAAAGAAUCCAUAGUUAACCCCUUUGAACCUUUAAAAAAAAAAAAAAGUUUCCUUGAUAACCUAUUAUCUUAUCUCACUCCAAUGUGGAGUAUCACCUUAUAUUUUAUGUUUUCCACCACCCAAUUAUGUUUGAAAAUAAGGAUGAUUAUGUAUUCCUAAUAAUGGUGUUAUUGAAAAAAAAAAAAAAGGAUAUGAACAUAAAAAUAAAAAUAAAAAAACAAAAAAAAGAGAAAACAAUUCCAAAAAAAAAAACACCUUGUAAUUUCCAAAAAGUCCCUCAUUUUUCAAACAUAUAUUUUUUGUUUUCCCUAUUACCUUUUUAUUAGCCAUAACCCUAGCUUACGUUACGUCCUAAUAAAAGUCCUUCUCGAUUUUUGGGAACUAUAUUCUGAAGUAAAAACUGGUAAUAUGGACUAAAAAAUAUGGUGAUGCAUAAAAAUAAAAAUAAAUUUUGCUAGUAAUUCCUUGGACUUGAGGUCAUUUUAUUUCUAAGCUAUGGGCAUUAUUUUUUCAUCUUUGUGAGAGCGUGUAAUAUUGUUUUAUUUUUCUCUCAAAUCUACCAUUUUUAGAGUGACAGUUUAAUUUGGGGUAUAUUUUCUUUUGAGAGAGUCACUCUUAAUCGUGAAGUUUUGGGGUUUGACAUACCAUUCUUAAAAGUGGCUUGAUUAAUGUAGUUUUGAUAAUUGAUCAUUUUACAUGAUUUUACUUAACUGAUUUAUGUGGGUGUGAUUUUCUUUAGGCUGAAGAUAAUGCUUAUAUUUUUAUUUGAUUGUUGUCAUUAAUCUGAUGAAAGAAGUAAACACAAUUUUUCAAAAAAAAAAAAAAAGAUUUUCAAUUUGGUUUUGAAAUUUCUCUAAAUUUUUAUCGCUUAAAUUGCUAGGGCCUAGCAAUAAGCUGGUUGGGGGGUGUGAUUAACACUAAAAAGUGUACGUGUAAUAAGGAUAAAAUUAUUAAUUUUUCACUUAAAGUGUUGAUUAAUGCACGCAUAACUUAUAAAUUAUAUGAAUGCUCCCGAAAUAAAUUUUUGUGUUGAAUUAAUUCACAAUAUGUUAAUUUUUAUCUUAUAAAUAAAUUUUUGUGUUGAAUUAAUUCGCAAUAUGUUAAUUUUUAUCUUAUAAAUAUUUUUCAAGGAUAAAUUAGAAUUGAAAGCGGGAACAAAGAAGGAUUGUUGGAGCAAUUUGGAAGCAUUAUUGAGGAGAUGUAAAUAAAUAAAUAAAUAAAUAAAAAUAAAAAAAGAACAAAAGAACAAAAACCAAGCAAUUUAGUUUCUCGUGAUGGUCAUUACACAUUUCAAUGUACAUAUAUAUAAUAAUAAUAAAAUAAAUAAAGAUAAUGCAUUCCUUGCCUAUUAUAGGCAAGGAAAUGCAGAGAACUGAGCAUUGAGAAGUUAGAGAGCUGAGCAGAGAGAGCUUAAGCUAAAAGAGAAUAGAGUGCAGCUGAGGAAUUGUGUCUUUUUCUUCUUUUGUUGUAAUCAACUUUCUUAUAACGUAUUUCAAAAGUUUAUCAAAUAAAUAGAGUGUUGUGUUUUCUUUCAAUAUGAGUGGCUAAUUUUAUUAAGCUGAAGUGAAGGGUGAAGCUUAAUGUUUCAAACUAUUAAAUUUAUUAUUUUCUCAAAUGAGUUUUAAAGUUUAUUUUGUUUUUUUCUAGUUAUUUUUAUGUCAUGUUAAUUUAUAAAUUUCUUUAGGAUUUGUAUGGUAUUUUGACACAAUGUCGACACAUUAAUAUAAUGUGACACAUUAAUAUAAUGUGGCACAUUAGGUAUUUUAUUCCAUAUUUAUCCACACACAUAGAAUUAAAUGAUAUAAUAAUUAACCGGUAAAAGUGAGGAAAAAUAUAAAUGAGAGAGUAUUAAAAUUAUAGUUUGAAUACUAAGAGUGGAUCCCGUAACCUUAGCAUAUUUUUAAAUUGUUUUCAAAUAAUUUAUUUUCCCAAAAUUAAUUUUCUUUGUUUAACAAAUUGACAACUAGAUUUUAAAAUUCCCUGUGGUUCGACCCCGAACUCACCGGGUUAUAUUAUAACUAGACACUCUUAUAUUUGAGAGUAAUACACUUUUGAGUCAUGUCAGUUAACUUAUUCAAUAUAAAUGGUAAAUUUGGGUGGUCUGACACAAGUUUUACUGAGUUAUUGGGAUUUCUAGCCAAGUUGUUGCCAAGUAAUGAAAAUCUUAUGUCUAUGUAUGAGGCCAAAAAGACAAUAUCUGCUUUAGAUUUAGAAUAUAUGAAAACACAUGCUUACCCAAAUGACUGCAUACUCUAUAGAAAAGAGUGUGAAGGGCUUUAUGAAUGUCCUAGUUGUGGUUUAUUUAGAUGAGGGGAAAAAUGAUGGCAGUGUUGACCAAUUAAGGAAAUGAUUCCUGUAAAGGUUUUAUAGUAUUUUCUACCCAUACCUAAAUUUAAGUGCAUGUUCAGUUCUAAUAAACUGCCAAAGACUUGACUUGGCAUGCAAAUGAGAGAGUCAAUAAUGGUAACCUUCGACACUCGAUAAACUCACCAUCAUGGAAAUUAUAUAUGACAAAUGGCUUACCUUUGUAUUAUAUCCUAAGAAUCACUUUCUUGCCUUAUCAGCUGAUGGAAUAAAUCAAUAUAGCUCUCCUAAUAAUACAUAUAGUUGUUGGUUGAUUGUUCUUAUAACUUAAAAUCUUCUUCUAUAAUUAUGUAUGUCGUAGAAAUUCAUGAUAUUGUCCUUACUAAUUUUUUGUUCUCAACAACCAAGUAACGACAUUAAUGUGUACCUGACACUUUUGAUAGAAGAUUUGCAAAAUUUGUAGGAAGUUGUGGUAAAGGCUUAUGAUGCCUAUGGAUAUGAGUUCUUGAAUUUGCGGGCUAUGUUAAUAUGGACUAUAAGUGACUUUCCAGCUUAUGAGAAUUUAAUGAGUUGCACUGUUAAAAGAUAUAAUACUUGUCCAUAUUAUAGAGUAGACAAUACUAAAUGUAGACCUAAACACAGUGGCAAAAAUGCAUAUAUUGGCCACCAUUGUUGGCUUCCUCAUGGUCAUGAAUUUUAAGACCAACAUAAAGCCUUUGAGAAAGGGUUUGCUACAAAACUAUUGAAUAGUGCGGGUGUUUUUAUGGCUAGUUGAGUCUAUUAAUAAUAAAUGAAGGAAAAACAACGAUAAAAAGAGUAAAAGUUCUAACAUUGAUGACCGAUUGUGGUGGAAAAAAAUUGUAUUCUAUAAUUUAAAGUAUUGGAAGAACUUAUGUAUCAUCAAUUAGAUGUUAUGUAUAAAUGAAAAGAAUAUAUGUGAGAGCAUCUAUGGAGCACUACUUCAUAUUUUGGGAAAGAUCAGUGAUGGUCGUAAAUCAAGGAAUGAUCUUUUGGAAAUGAAAAUUAAGGAUGAAUUAGCACCAAAUUUAAAAAAGAACAAAUGCACAUUCCUUUUUGCAGCUUGUUACGCAUUAACUAGAGAUGAAAAGGUUUAAAAAAUAUUAAGGUUCAUGUUGGGUAUUCUUUAAAUAUAAAAAUCAUGUGUCAAUGAAGGAUCUUAAAUUUUAGGGCCUUAAGUCCCAUGACUGCCAUGUUCUUAUAUAAUAACUUUUGUCUAUUGCCAUUAAGUGUGUCUUCCUAAAGGAUGUGAAAGAAGCUAUGAUCAAGCUAUGUUUCUUCUUUAAUUUGUUUUGUUCAAAUAUGGCUGAUGUGACAACAUUAGAUAAAUUACAAUCAGACCAUGUUAUGACUUUGUGCUUGUUAGAAAAAUACUUUCCCUCCCCCCCUUUCUUUGACAUUAUGGUACACUUGACAACUUGGCCUCUUACUCAUUGAAAUAGAGGAUGUUAAUUUUAUCCCUUAUUGAUGUGAAUCCAAAAUCUAUUUCUGAGUGAAAUUUCCCUAAGCACAUAUAUUUCCAUGUGCACAAUCUAUGUAUCCUCAUUCAUUUGUCCAAUACUCUUCACUUAAGUUUCGGCCAUCAUUUCCAGCCUUCUUUUGCUAUGCCUAUGCAUUAGAGAAGUUUUGACUGCACUUGACGGUGAAGUUGUGACAUCUAUUUGUGAUGCGAAGCUUAGAAGUAUAGAUAUUCAAGCAACGACCUCAAGUACUCUUUGUAGAUUUGAAAUAACAAAUUUUGUGAUUACGAUACUUUCUUAAUUUUAAGCUUAUUGUUGUUGAUUUUCUAUUGUAAAUAAAAAAGAAGUACAACAAUAGGCCUGUAGGCAGGCCUCUUAAUAAAUAAUGACCUCCAAGGAAUAUUAAUAUAUACUGAGUAAAAAUAUCUAUUUUAAAGCAUCUCCAAAUUACUCUUCAAAUAAAAUUUUACUUCUUAUUUGAAGAGUCAUAUCAAUAUUAAACACUCCAAAAGACACGUUAAUUUAAAUUCUUCAAACAAGAUUUGUUUCUCACUCUUCAAUAUUGCCGAGUGAGUUUCUCCCUCUUCUAUUAAUAUUUUAUUAUUAUUUAUUGAAAAGAUAAGACUGCAAUAAUUAGUAUUUAUGUUUCCUUUCAAAAACAUAACAGCAAUUCAAUUUGAUAGUGUGAAAGAUUUGAUUAAAAUAAUGUUAACUUAUUCUUAUUUGAUGAAUCUUUUGGAGGAGGUUGUAUUUUUUCAUCCACUUAUUUGCCACAUCAGUAAGCAAAUUGAUAUUUGAAAAGAAAAAUUUAAAGAGUUUUUUGGAGAUGCUCUCACCUCCAAAAAUUACGCAGAAGGACACCAUUAUACAUUUAAUUCCUUUAAAAUCUACUUGGUGACUCUCUAUUUUCUGACUUGUAAAAAUUUUAAAUUAAAUCUCACAAGUUGGAAUCAUUUUCGAGAUCAAUUGACCUCUUUUUUUUCAAGUUAUAGUUACUAACACAAUUACCAUUGAAUUUUUCAGUUAUUACAAAAUUGCCACAUAAUUUCGUAACCUGAGGUUUGUUCUAAUUUAAGGAUUCAAUUUUCAUCCCUUCUUAAUUUACACAAAUUGGUGAAGACAAAGAAUUUACCACUCAUUUUAAAUUUAUAUAAUUUUAGUUUUAUUACUUUUUCUUAUUGAAGAAGCUAAAUUCACAAAAUAUUUUUCAAAAGCCAAUCUUAAAUAUUAGUUUAAAAUUUAAUGCAUUCACUUUCAAAUUUUUUUUUUAGGGCAGCAGGGGCUGGGAGGCACAUGACUGAUGGUGACUUGAAGGCACUAAUGUACACUUACGCGUUGUCAUGUUAUUAUAUUAAGGUGCUCCAUUCGAAAUUUAGGAAUGUAACUGCGUUAAAUAUUUAUUGGAAGAGUUUUAUCAUUUUAAUGGUUCUAUCCAGCUCGAAUUUGAAUUAGUCGAGACUUAACUCUUAAGUUAUUAUAAAUUAUAACAUUAUGUAACUUAACAGAAGUCCAUCAAUUAGACUAAUCAAGUGAAUUUUCAAUUCCGUGGACCAUGGACUUGGUAAAUUAUCAUUGCACCCAUGCAUGCAACAAGUGAGACAUACCGUGGGGAGCUAGUCAGCUAGAGGUGUAGGUCUGAUGACUUGAGGUCAAUGGUCAACCAUUAUUUUCUCUCUAAUUACACGAAGGCUACAUGGACUCACUUUUUCUCUUUUUCUCUUUCUCUAUCAUGCGCGUCAAGUAAAUAAAGUGAAAGAACAAUUAUGAGUGCCUGACAAGAUUUUAACUAACUCAGAAAAACGACCUUAUUUUAGUGAGUUUAUUUAUUUAUUAGGUCAAUGGUCAACCAAUAUUUUCUCCCUAAUUAUACAAAGACUCACUACAUGGACAGAUGGACUCACUUUUUCUCUUUUUCUAUCAUGCGCGUCAGUAAAUAAAAUAAAAGAACACUUAUGCGUCCUUAAUCCUGACAAGAUUUUAACAAAAACAAACUCAGAAAACGUCCUUAUUUUAGUAAGUUUAUUUAUUUAUUUUUUUAAAUUUAUCUAAAACAACGUUGUUUUGAGUGUGUUUUUAUUAAGAUUUUAUCCGAAUUUAGGAUGCAAUCACUUUUCGUACAUCUUAAUAACAACUUGAUAAAAUUCUUUUCAUAAUUUUCCAAAAUAAAUAAAUAAAUAAAUAAAAGAAAAGAAAAGAAAAGAAUUGGAAUAUAACGAAACCCCACCAUUCAUAGCUGAAUAUGAAAAUCAGCUUGAUAAAAAAAAGUUGAAACUCGACAUGCAUAAAUGAUAAAGACUCCACUUUGUUAACGUGUGGAGUGGUGUGGGUCUAUCGUCUACGCGUCUUAAGUCUUCAUCGGUAAAUGCAUCCGGAAAGAAAUGCAUUUAAUUAUUGAGUUUGUUAGUGAUCAAUCAUCAACGUAACAACUUUUUUCCAAAAUGCAUGAACAUUACCACGUACUUCCGGGUAUCAUCGCAAGUGAAGCAAGAGCCAAUAAAGGGGAUCCAUUUGUACCUCUCUGAUUGGGUUGCCAAGGUACAAGUCUUCCUUGUUAUUUUGUUUGUUUUUUCAUUUGCAAAAUUAAUAAUUAAACCAGAGUUAUAAAUCGUCAUGCGUAAGAAUUAAGAUGAUUUUUAUUUUAUUAUUAUUAUUAUCUAUUAUUAGUAUGUUAAUAUCGCAAUAUUUGUCAAUGGGUAACAUCUUAAUUAGAGGUCACAUGAUUUGAGAAACCCCCAGUUGAAAAUAAUUAGUCCUAAUUGAAAUUUAACAAUUUAAUUUAAAAAAAUCCUAUGUUUCUACCCCUGCAUUUAUAGAUUUUAUAUUGUGACCUCAUCAAAUUUGUAAUUAUUUAUAUUGACUCUCUCAAGCCAAAAUUUUGGUUUGGCCAAAGUGAACACUACUUUUAGAAACAAGUUCAAUAUGAACGGUUGGCAGCUAUUUUCUGUGAGAGUUACAUAGCAUACUAUAAUAUUGAAUCUCUAGCAUAUUAAAUAAAGGGAGAGAAAAAAAAAGAUAAUAAUAAAGUCCUAUGGCACAUCAAAUAAAAAGAAAGAAGGAAAAGAGGAAGAAGAAGAAGAAAUGGAAAAAAAAAGAAAAAGAACAUCAAUAAUCGACAUAACUGUUUGAGUGAUUCUUUCUAAACGCAAUCGUAACAAUGAUAUGCUAGAAGAAAUUAAAAUGAUGAAAUUAAUAAUUGUUUAAAUAAAUUAAUUGUUUCAAUUAUUUUAAGGGAAUUAUCAAACAAUAAGGAAAGCAUAGAAAGGAUUUUGAAGUCAAAUAUGGAUACUAAGCCUACCGCUACUGUGGAACUUCUGGAACGGACUUUGAGAUAUGUAAUGCUAUUUUUAUUAAAAUAAAUAAAUUGUCAAGAUAUUGAAUGCUAUAAUUAUAACUAAAAAAAUCAGUCUCUUGUCUCGUUCUUCUGAUACUAUUGAAGACGUGAAUUGGACUCUUAUCCCAAAUCCCAAUGCAAGGGGUAGAAAUCCUGAAAAGAAAUAAUAAUAAUAAAUAAAGACCAACUCGCUCUUCACACGCAACAACCGUACCUCUUUCUCAGAAGUUGGACUAAUCGUUUUUCACGUGUAUCGGAUUUUCGUAAAAUUCGCUCUCAUCUUAAUUUAUAUCUAAUGUUUAUUGUUAAUUGGUUAAUUUCAAUUAGAUUUUGUCUUUGUGCUUCUGUAGAUUUUUUAUAUUUCAUAGGAUUCCCCAUUUGAAUCUACGUUCUCCCAAUCAUUUGUGCAAUCAUAACUAUUUUUUUAAAUUAUAUUAGACUAUUACUUAAAUUAUAAUUCAUAUUUUAUGAUAUUAUAAUUAAUAUUUAUAAAUCAUAUUAUUAUUGGGACUAACUUAUAUUAAUAUUUAUAGAGCUCUGUCCAAAUUUUUAAUCCUCGUCGAAGAAUGCCUAUUCUAUUCACACUUGAGUAAGGGAGAAACUACUUUCACUCAAUUAUACUUUAUAAUUUAGGAAUGAAAUACCACCAUAUCACGUUUUGUGAAAGUUCGAAUUGCUGCCCCCCAAAUCCUAACCACUCGGCCUUUUAAUCACAACUAGUUAAUAGAAUAAAUUAAAACAAAGACAUUGUCACUAAAACGAAUGACAUAUUAAAUUCGAUUAAUUGAUUUUAAUUUAUAAACAAUGCUGAAUUUUUUUUCCUCCUAUCAAUUUGUAUGUUAAAACUCAUUUUAUCUUUCAACCCUAAAUAUUUUCCCCCCUUAACAAUUAAUGUUAGGAAUUACAUAAGCUAUUAAAGUUUUAGAAAGAUCUAAGCGGUAAAAAAAAAACCAAAAUCAAAGAAAAAUGAGCCACUGUCCCCCUCCAAAUAAAUUUAGGUUUUAUCGAGAAAGAAUAAUACAUGUUUCAGUCUUGAUAUAUCUCAUAUUUACUCAAUAAUUAAUAAUUCUACGGAUAAAGUUUAUCCUUGUCUGAACUUUUAGGUAAUUUCAUCCACAACACGUGAAAUGCAAUAACUAUUUUUUUUUCUUUUUUACUUUAUUUUUAGAUUUUUUUAACAUUGAAACCGUGUGAUGAGAAGGGAUACAGGGCAGCAGGGGCUGGGAGGCACAUGACUGAUGGUGACUUGAAGGCACUAAUGUACACUUACGCGUUGUCAUGUUAUUAUAUUAAGGUGCUCCAUUCGAAAUUUAGGAAUGUAACUGCGUUAAAUAUUUAUUGGGAGAGUUUUAUCGUUUUAAUGGUUCUAUCCAGCUCGAAUUUGAAUUAGUCGAGACUUAAUGUGAUCUUCGAAUAUCAGAUAAUUUAAUACACUGAAAAAAUAUGAAAAUUAUAAUUACAUUGGAGUUGAUUUACAACGAACUAUAAAUUUAAUUAUAUACAUAAAAUAAUAAAUAAUAAAUAAUUUAUUAUAAUUUUAAUCCUAUAAUUAUAAAAAGAUGCUCGACUUUAGAGCAUUCCAACCUAACAAACUCAUUUAUUAAACGCCAUUCAAAAGUUAUUAAUAUUUGAUUUAAAAUUACAAUUAUGGGCGAUUGUUGCUAGCACUCUUCUAGCCCUCGCCCUAUAAAGAGAAACGAGAUGGGUAGCAAGUAGCAACUCUUUGUGAUAACGAAUUAAUUAAGUUAAUAAUUACAGGAUUCCUUGAAAUGCCUUUCCGACUUACAACAAAGCUGGUGGUGCUGCUGCUAGUACUGCUACGAGCAAGUGCAGCUGCUGCUCAUGCUCAAGCCAAGCCCGGCUGCCCCAGCCGUUGUGGAGACGUCGAGAUCCCGUAUCCAUUCGGUACAAGGCCUGGUUGUUUUCUGAACAAAUACUUUGUCAUCACUUGUAACAAAACUCAUUACAACCCACCCAAACCAUUUUUAAGGAAGUCAAAUAUCGAAGUUGUCAACAUAACCAUCGACGGUCGGAUGAAUGUCAUGCAAUUCGUUGCAAAAGAGUGCUACAGAAAGGGCAAUUCGGUAGACAGCUACUCGCCUACGUUCAGUUUGUCCAAGUUCACUGUUAAUUUCAAUUAGAUUUUGUCUUUGUGCUUCUGUAGAUUUUUUAUAUUUCAUAGGAUUCCCCAUUUGAAUCUACGUUCUCCCAAUCAUUUGUGCAAUCAUAACUAUUUUUUUAAAUUAUAUUAGACUAUUACUUAAAUUAUAAUUCAUAUUUUAUGAUAUUAUAAUUAAUAUUUAUAAAUCAUAUUAUUAUUGGGACUAACUUAUAUUAAUAUUUAUAGAGCUCUGUCCAAAUUUUUAAUCCUCGUUGAAGAAUGCCUAUUUUAUUCACACUUGAGUAAGGGAGAAACUACUUUCACUCAAUUAUACUUUAUAAUUUAGGAAUGAAAUACCACCAUAUCACGUUUUGUGAAAGUUCGAAUUGCUGCCCCCCAAAUCCUAACCACUCGGCCUUUUAAUCACAACUAGUUAAUAGAAUAAAUUAAAACAAAGACAUUGUCACUAAAACGAAUGACAUAUUAAAUUCGAUUAAUUGAUUUUAAUUUAUAAACAAUGCUGAAUUUUUUUUCCUCCUAUCAAUUUGUAUGUUAAAACUCAUUUUAUCUUUCAACCCUAAAUAUUUUCCCCCCUUAACAAUUAAUGUUAGGAAUUACAUAAGCUAUUAAAGUUUUAGAAAGAUCUAAGCGGUAAAAAAAAAACCAAAAUCAAAGAAAAAUGAGCCACUGUCCCCCUCCAAAUAAAUUUAGGUUUUAUCGAGAAAGAAUAAUACAUGUUUCAGUCUUGAUAUAUCUCAUAUUUACUCAAUAAUUAAUAAUUCUACGGAUAAAGUUUAUCCUUGUCUGAACUUUUAGGUAAUUUCAUCCACAACACGUGAAAUGCAAUAACUAUUUUUUUUUCUUUUUUACUUUAUUUUUAGAUUUUUUUAACAUUGAAACCGUGUGAUGAGAAGGGAUACAGGGCAGCAGGGGCUGGGAGGCACAUGACUGAUGGUGACUUGGAGGCACUAAUGUACACUUACGCGUUGUCAUGUUAUUAUAUUAAGGUGCUCCAUUCGAAAUUUAGGAAUGUAACUGCGUUAAAUAUUUAUUGGGAGAGUUUUAUCGUUUUAAUGGUUCUAUCCAGCUCGAAUUUGAAUUAGUCGAGACUUAAUGUGAUCUUCGAAUAUCAGAUAAUUUAAUACACUGAAAAAAUAUGAAAAUUAUAAUUACAUUGGAGUUGAUUUACAACGAACUAUAAAUUUAAUUAUAUACAUAAAAUAAUAAAUAAUAAAUAAUUUAUUAUAAUUUUAAUCCUAUAAUUAUAAAAAGAUGCUCGACUUUAGAGCAUUCCAACCUAACAAACUCAUUUAUUAAACGCCAUUCAAAAGUUAUUAAUAUUUGAUUUAAAAUUACAAUUAUGGGCGAUUGUUGCUAGCACUCUUCUAGCCCUCGCCCUAUAAAGAGAAACGAGAUGGGUAGCAAGUAGCAACUCUUUGUGAUAACGAAUUAAUUAAGUUAAUAAUUACAGGAUUCCUUGAAAUGCCUUUCCGACUUACAACAAAGCUGGUGGUGCUGCUGCUAGUACUGCUACGAGCAAGUGCAGCUGCUGCUCAUGCUCAAGCCAAGCCCGGCUGCCCCAGCCGUUGUGGAGACGUCGAGAUCCCGUAUCCAUUCGGUACAAGGCCUGGUUGUUUUCUGAACAAAUACUUUGUCAUCACUUGUAACAAAACUCAUUACAACCCACCCAAACCAUUUUUAAGGAAGUCAAAUAUCGAAGUUGUCAACAUAACCAUCGACGGUCGGAUGAAUGUCAUGCAAUUCGUUGCAAAAGAGUGCUACAGAAAGGGCAAUUCGGUAGACAGCUACUCGCCUACGUUCAGUUUGUCCAAGUUCACUGUCUCUAACACAGAAAACAGGUUUGUAGUCAUUGGCUGUGACAGUUACGCUUACGUUCGCGGCUACUUAGGUGAGAACAGAUACAGAGCCGGUUGCAUGUCCAUGUGCGACAGCUUUGACUUUGUCACCAACGGAUCCUGCGUCGGCACUGGAUGUUGCCAGAUUGAGAUUCCUAGAGGGCUGAAAGAACUUGAAGUGGAAGCAUUCAGCUUUAACAAUCACACAAAUGUGUCCCCAUUCAAUCCAUGCACUUAUGCGUCUGUUGUUGAUAAAAGCCAGUUCCAUUUCUCCUCCAAUUAUCUUGCCUGGGAGGGCACACCAGAGAAGUUUCCUUUAGUGCUUGAUUGGGAAAUAACCACAAAGGAAACCUGUGAAGAAGCAAAAAUAUGUGGACUCAAUGCAUCCUGCCAUAAACCCAAGGAUAAUACCACUACUUCUUCCGGCUAUCAUUGCAAAUGCAACGAAGGUUACGAAGGCAAUCCAUACCUCUCUGAUGGUUGCCAAGGUAUAAAUCUCUAAUCAUUCUCACUCACUCGCGGAUGUUCAUUUUCUAAUUUUUAAAAUCAUUUUUAAUUAAUUAAUAUUUAAAAAAUUAUUUAAUUGCAGAUGUUAAUGAAUGCGAAGACCCAAGCCUCAAUAACUGCACGCGCACGCACAUAUGUGAUAACAUACCAGGAAGUUACACAUGUCGCUGCCGCAAGGGGUUUCAUGGAGACGGCACAAAAGAUGGACGAGGUUGUAUACCUAAUCAAAAUACUGCGCUAAAGGUGGCUCUAGGUAUGUAAUACAAGCACCUUCUAUUAUAUUUUAUUGCAUAUUUGAGGGCUUUAUGACAUACGUAUUACGUAGUUGCUGCCCUAAUAUUUUAUCUAUUUAUUUUUUCUAACUGUGGCUCACAAUGUUUUAAAGAGAAUAAAAUAUUUAAACAACAGAAAAUUGUUAAUUGUUUUCUUUUAAUUAGUUCAUAUAUACCUUGCCUAAGGUCUUAAAAGCAUAAUAAUAUAUUUAAAUUACACAAAACAAAAAGUCAAGUGUUAAUAAUUGGGUAUUUUAAAUGCACCUCUGAAGUUUGUUUAAGUCGCAUAAUUUCAGAGGCUGUGUGGUUGAUUAACAAGCACCGUAGUGACAAAAUUAGCCUAACUGUCGUGUUACCCGAGGUCAACUGGUCAAGUCCAAGACUGUUAUUAAAUAUUUAUUUAUUUAUUUAUGUAUUUUAUGGUAAGGGUGAGUAAAAUCUUCUAUCUAAGUAUAUAUGAAUUCGCACAAUUAUCAUUACUCACUGAUGUGUUAUUUGGUUUCAAGGUAUAGUGUGUGAUGAUACCAAUAUAAAUUUCAAAAUCUAAGAUCGACUUUGGCCUUUCGAGAUCCAGACUAGUGCGACUUUUCCCAUUAUUUUAAUUUGAUCCUCGAGAACGGACCGGGUUUAAUUAGAAUAAAUUCCGAUUAUCAAAACUUAGAUAGUCCAAAUUUGUCAUUCUUUUAUAGUUUUGAGUCCAGGUUCUAAUUUUUGAAGUUGCACUUUUCACCCAAAUCUAUUUUAAGCUUUAUCUCUUAAAUGUUUUAAAUUGUAGUUUUGAUCCCAAAUUAGGCUCGUCUUACAGUUAGGUCCAAUAAAAUCCAGGCACGAGUUUCAUAUUAGGGGUUAAAAUUUUGUCCUUGAAUACUAAAUUUUGCAUUUUAAUUUCGAGAAAUUCAAUCAAUUAUCCCUCCAAGAUUGGUGUGAGGGGGAGUUAAUCAAGAUUGGUCUAUCCUAGCUUUAACCCUGUGCGCUAGAAUUACAUACAUAGUCAAUGAAGUUUUCUUUCCAAGUACAUGUUUCCACUUCAAAGCACAAUUGUUUGCCUAAAAUGUAAGUUGAGUACAUGUUUAAGCAACCAAGCACAAGCAUAAAGUUAUAAAAUAAUGAUGGAUGAGAGGGUUUUUAAUUAACGUUAUAUGUUAUACUCUUAAAUUUAGUUUCUCCAGCUCAUUAUCUCUUUGAAUUUGCAUGUUUUAAUUUACAUGUAGGGGUUGGCAUAAGCUUUGUAUUUGCGACUAUGAUCAUCUCUUGGCUUCACUUUCUGUGGAAGAGAAGAAGGCACAUGAAACUCAAAGAAAAAUUCUUUGAGCAAAAUGGUGGGCGUAUUCUACAACGAGAGUUGUCUAAAUUGCAAGGUCAAUCUUCUGAGAAGGCAAAAAUUUUCACGGAAGAAGAAAUCAAGACGGUGACAAACAACUAUGCCAACGUGAUCGGCCGCGGAGGCUCUGGCUUGGUGUACAAAGGAUUGUUACCAAACAAAACUCCAGUUGCCGUAAAGAAGUCCAAUAUCGUUGAUCAUAAAAAGAAUGAUGAAUUCAUCAAUGAACUGGUUGUGGUCUCGCAGAUAAACAACAGGAAUGUGGUAAGGCUAUUAGGUUGCUGCUUGGAGACACAAGUGCCUUUAUUAGUUUACGAAUUUGUCGGUAAUGGCACCCUCUUUGAGCAUAUUCAUGAGAAAGACAAAGGAAAGGCUACAAAGAACCUUUCCUGGGAAGUACGGCUGAAGAUAGCAGCAGAAACUGCGGGAGCGCUUUCAUAUUUGCAUUCUGAAACUAAUGUUCCAAUAAUUCACAGAGACGUCAAGUCUGCCAACAUACUCUUGGAUGAAAAGUAUACUGCAAAAGUUUCUGAUUUUGGAGCUUCAAAAUUGGUUCCGAUUGAUGAAAUUAUAAAAAACACGAUUUUGAAAGGUACUUCUGGGUACUUAGAUCCUGAGUCUUGUCAGACUUCCAAGUUGACGGACAAAAGUGAUGUUUACAGCUUUGGAGUUGUCCUUGCCGAGCUACUGACGGGAGAGAAGGCACUUAUGUCGGAUGGGCAGGAGGAGAGAAGUCUGGCUAUGCAUUUUCUUUCUUCAUUGGAACAGAAUCAUUUACUUGAGAUUCUCGAUGGUCGUAUUGUAAACGAUGGCAAUAAGCAACAGCUCAAGGAAGUGGCCAGGCUAACGGCUAGGUGCUUGAGUGUGAGAGGCAAGGAGAGGCCUACAAUGAAGGAAGUAGCGUUGGAAUUACAAGGUCAGUACUUUUGAAUAUGGAGAUGGGGUGUUGCCAGCCAGCCAUGCAACUCCAACAAAUGGAUAUGAUAGACUGAUAGUAUCAAGCAACUCGAAUUGAUGGCGGUUGAUGAUGGGAGAUGAUUGGUACUGUAUGUUGUGUUUGUGUGAUAUAUGUAUUUAUUUAUUCUGCUGUGUCUUUUUUUAUUUGGUUGAAUUACAAGGAUUUAGUAAGUAACACAAAUAUGUAUUUCGAGGUAAAAUAACUGUGGGUAUGUAUAAGUGAUCUUUGUGGCGUUUCUUUUUUUAUUUGCUUAUAAUAGGCAGGUCAGAACAUUAUUGUCAUACAUUGAUGUACUUCUAGCUGGGCCAAGUGCUAAUUUAAAAGGAUGUGGUUUAUGCCUUUAUUGGAAGCAUUGUCUUGUUAUUAGUUCAAAAAUGAAUGUGUUUGAUGGUUCUUCCCUAUUGUUCGACGAAAUGCCUCAAAGAAGUAUUUUUGGCAGGAACCAUUUCAUCUGAAUUCUACAAUGCUUCAAGAGCAUCUAGAGAUCAUCAAGCAGUACAUGAAUAAAAGGGUCAUGGGAUAUUGCAUUGUUUGCUUGCUGGCCAAGAACAAUUCACACGUUUAAGAUAAGAUCAACGAGUCGCGGAACAAUAAGACAAACUGCUGAUAGUUGGUCACAACUGUUUCGUAUUGUCAUAUGAUCCAAUAUCUUAAGCAAGAAACUACAUCUUUGCACCUGGUACUAAAACUAUCAAUGAAAAAUGAAGAGCGAUUCAGGCUGGGAAAUAUCAUUUCAUAGCACUUGUUUGUGUCGUUUUAUUUAGAAGUUUUUAUCUUCAACAAGUUGGAUUUUUUUUUAAUUGUUUGAAAGGUAAAUUUCAUUAAUCAACCAAUCAAAUCUCUUACUUCUGCUAUAAUUUAUUCCAUUUUAGACAUUACAAGCCGGGCUGCUAAUAUCAAAUUUAGUUAAUCUAUGGAUUCCCAGCUGCAAGUUCUAUAUACAUGAUUAAUUAACCCUGGUCAUCUCUGCAUCUUGGAUCAACAUUUGAAUAUCUCAAGCUAUCCAAAAGAUUUGUUUUCUAUUACUCUCCAACUUCUGGACAAGAUUUACAGCAAUCAAAAAGCAUCUGAUUGGAUGACUAACGGAAGUAACUAAAUCAGCUUCCUACGCAACCCAAAUCUCAUUUCUUCUGCUUCAACGUCUAUACUCGAAAGAAUAGUGUUCCUUGCGUAGCUGCCGCCAUAAUCUCUCUCCAUCAGCAUUCUUAUUAUAGCCCCCCAAGCCUGCAAUCUUUUUCAAUGAAUCAGUGGCUAGCUGCAUCUGCUGUCCUCAAUAAACUCAGAUCGUUGAGGAUCUUUAAAGGGCUUUUUGAAAUAGAAAUCAUUGUUUGCAAUAUUUCUGAGAGUAAUGACCUCUGCUUUCAUCAUGUGACAUUAACGUAUACCUCAUUGAGAACAAAGGCAAUGGAACUGGAUUAUUUGGGGAAGCUCUGCUCUUGUAACCACUGGCUCGCUCUUAAUAAAUAUGCAUCUGCUGAUAUUCAGCCUCGCCAAUAAACUCAGAUCGUUGAUGCACCGUUCUGGAAGAGCUUAUGCCCCUGCCAGAACGAUCUGAGGAUCUUUAUAACGCUUUUUGAAAUACAAAUCAUUCCUUGCAAUAUUUCUCAGAACAAAGGCGAUAAAACUGGAUUUGUUUGAGGAAGUUCUGCUCUUGUAGCUACUGGCUCGCUUUUAAUAAAUAUGUAUUUAUUAGCCUUGAGCUUGGCUUUUUGAUGUUAGAUCUGCGUGUACUAGAUACACCAUCUUAAUGUUCGACGAAAUGCCUCAAAGAGGUAUUUUUGGCGGCAACCAUUUCAUUUGAAUUCUACAUUGCUUCAAGAGCUUCUGUAACUGCCGCCAUAAUCUCUCCGUUAGCAUGCCUGAUUAUUGCCCCAAUUAAUUUUCAACAUUACAAUUCCCAAGUAAUUUUCUAAGAUAUUUUAUCCCUAAAAAUCUAUCAUUCAUUAGUUAAAUUUUAAAAAAUUCCACCUAUUUGAAAAUAUCUUAUUUGAACAAUCCCACUGUUUAAUGAAAGAAUGGUACAUUAAUUACUUGAAAUAUAUUAUCUCUCAACACGUUACGCCAAUUAUGUGUAACAAAACUACAAAGGCGCAUGUAUAUCAUAUCAGUAAAUCUAUAUAUACGGGAAAUGCUUCAAAGAAAUUGGUUGCUGAGAUAUCAUAAAUUUCUCCAUAAAGUUUAGAAAUCUCAAAUCUUAUCAGGAUUUGGUAGAGGUUUGAAUGAAACUUUAUAUUAUUGUCAGUGGUAGCAGUUACAUUGCUGCAGUAAUCCCAUUUUGGCUUUACAUGAAAUACACAGCAACUUUUUCACGUUAUCAAAAUAGUAUAACAGUAUUUUUUGUACUGUUCCUUUUGCCGUGUUGCAGCAAAGUCCCAUUAUUCAUGCAUGUUUUGUCAAAUACUAUUGCAAUAUAUAAUAACACAAGUUGAUCACACACAGCUAGCAUUCAUUAUGGAAGUAAGUUCUACAAGAAGUGAAAAUUGUUCCGAGCUGCAGCAAUCAUCAUCAAUGGAGGUUUCAUCUUGUGGCCCCAAUAUUAUCAAUUCAUUCAAUACUAAUAAUGGCGAUGGCUGUGCAACUCCAAAGGCUAAAAGAUUCAGAAUACCUGAAAGAUUAUGUUGCCCACCAGCUCCAAUGAAGAAAAGGGUAACUUCAUCAAAUUUAUCAUCAAAAAGGUCUCCCGUCACUUUUUUCAGUUCUCCAGAUAUUGAGAUAUUCUUCAUGUUUGCUUCCCAAAAAAAUGUCUCAUCUUGAGUUGUAAUCUGAUUAUAGCAUGAAUUAAUGAGAAGCUAGGGUUGUCUGGAAAUUAUUAUUAUUAUUUUUUUUGGAUCAUCUGUGUGUUAAACUCCAUUACAAGUCAGGAGAAAAGAAAACUUUGGCUUCAAAAUCAGAAACAUGAGUUGGACUUUAUUUUGUGAAUUUAGAACCAUAGAUUUUAUUAAUAGCAGCUUAAUUUUCAGUUUGAUAUUUCUAUGAAUUGUUUUAGUUUCUUGUUUAUGAAUUAAGCCCUCAAUUUCUUUUUUUGUACACAAAAAAAAAAGAAGAAGAAGAAGAAGAAACCAUUUUCAAUAUUUGAAUUAUCAAAUGGGAUUAGGUUCUCUCUCUUAUCACAAACUUAAAGAGGGGAAAGAGAAAGCAUGUACUAUUUUGUUGCUGUGUGGGUGAUAGAUUAAUAUAUUAGUUAGUGCAUGGAUGAGAGAUCCCGAUGAAGGAGCUCGUGCAGCUGAUGAUCAUUACAGGGACAACACCCGUGCAUGCAUGGAAUCGACAAGCAGUCUCCUUUUUUGAACUUUUUUUUUAAUUUAUAUAAAUUUAAUCUCAAGAGACUUAUUAACUUUAACAGUUUCAUAAUUAAUGUGUUCGUUAAUCCACCUAAGAUUAAAUGACAAAUACAAUACAACAGAAACACGAAAAAAAAUUUUGACACGAUUAAUUUGACAUAAAAUAUAUUACCUAAUGAAGUUGUGUAAUUUGUUUUCAAGAUCUUGAAUGCACAAACCAAUUAAUUUCGGAGUCACAAACAAUUAUUAGUAUGGAAGAUAAAUGUUCUUAUAAUUCUUACUGAGUUUAUGAUUCAAUUAGUCUCGUAUUUUGAAUAAUUGUUUAAAUCAUCACUAUGUUAAAUAUAUUUUUAUAAGGAGAAAUUAUUUUAUCUAAGUUGACCAAGUGGAUAUAAAUUAUUUUCUUGAUUCAUUAUUUGAAUUCGAAUCCCAUAGAAAAAAAUUAAUUUGGGUCUUGUCCAUCCUUUACAUUUAAAAAAAAAAUAGAAAAAAAGUAAUAUAAUACAAACCUUUUGAGUAUUUUUUAAGUACGUAUAAAUUAACUAUGUAGUUGAUUCAAACGGUAAAAAUCAAAAAAAUAUUUGCCCUUUGCAUAAAUUUAGUUAUGUGUGUAUGAAGACCAUGUACAUAUUUGAUAUUUUUUUCUUGUUUUAAAAAGGUCAAAAGUAUGUUUAUGAAUGAGUUAAAACAUUGAUGAAUUACGAGUUAAAACAUUGAUGAAUUACUUUACGUAUAUUGUCGUUAAGCAGCAUCACAAUUAUUUUGGAAGAAUCAAGAAGAAUUUAAUUAAUUAGUUGCCUAAACUUUUUAUGUAAAAUUAAAAAAAAAUAGUGUAAAUAUUAUCUAAUUAUUUUCUCUCUUAUAGGAAAACUUUGAAGGGAUUUUGACAAAGAAAAAGGCCGGCUCAAAACCGGUGUGGUCUGGGUUUAGCCAAUUUCAGGCACAAGUGGGCUCGGGCUUUGAAUUUUUUAGGCCUUUCCCAUAGUCUGGCAUAAAGUUAUAGGGAAAAACCAAAUAAUUAAAUUUUGAACAAUUAAAGUACGACCAAACAAAGCCUUAACAUGACUCACUAGCGAACCACAAUUUUCAUGAAAUAAUGAACUUCUCGUUGAGAAGCUAAACAAUCAAUUAUCAAUGUAUGUUUUUUGAAUUCUUUUAUGUGCCAUUAAGUUGUGUGUGUGUGUUUGGAGGUCUAUUAGUCUUUUCAAUUAUCUUGUUCAUUUGAGUUAUUGACCGUGCAUAUAGUAUAUCAAUUUUUUGUGUGAAUAAUUUAGACUCUACUUUGUUUUCUAAUUGUAUGAUCUAUAAUGAUAUUAAUUAACGUAUAAUUUGCUUUGUGCAUUUGUUGAUUUCUUUUUGGUGAUAAUAUAUAAUUUCUUUUGGUUGACGGCUUGAACUUAAACCAUUGACUUCUUAUUUCUAUCUCUUACCUCUUUAUGGAAUCUAGUGAGAAUCAAGAUAUAUACAUUUGUAAACCCCAAAAAUCUAGCAAAUAAUUAUUGAAGAGAAAUCCAUUCUAUAUGAGAGAAAUUGCCCUACGAGAGGGCAUAAGUUCUCACUAUUGAGCUCUUAGCUUAAUAGUUUGUUCUAUUUUAUGAGUUAGACUAUUACAAUCAUUUCUCCUAAUAUAUUACAAUUACAUUUAGAGUGUCUUUGGUGCAAUCUCAUGUUUGGCUGGAACAAUUUGCUGCCAUAGUGCAGCAAAUUGCUGCAUUACCAAUUAGGAGUUUAAAUGGAUUUCUUGAAAAUAAAAUUCUUUGAGUUUGCCACAUUAACUUCUCUUUUUUCCUUUUUCUUUUCUUUUUUCUUUUUAAUAUUAUAAUAAAUAAAAAUAUAUUUGUAAUUUAAUAUUAUAUUAUCUAAUAAUAUUAAUUUCGCUUGCACUAAUUCUGCCUGCUGUACGGCCAAGGCGGGUGUACGGGACAGCAGAUAAUAAAUACUUUAAAUAAUAUAUUAAAAUAUAAUAUAAUAUUACUUUGUUUAAUUAUAUGAUAAUAUCAAAUAUAUAAUAAUUGAUUAUUGUUUAAUAAUUUAAUAUAACUGACAAUAAACCCUUAAAUAUUAAUAUAUUUAAAUAAUAAUAGUUUAAAAUUAAUAGUAAUAUAAAUAAUGAUAUAAAAUAUUAUUACAUGUAUCAUAGCUCAUAUUUCACCAAAUAUAAUAUUGCAUUGUAGCUUAAUACACUAUAAUGCAACAUCAUAAUGCAAAACAACAAAGUGUAACAAACACACCCCUAGUGCAUGUUUGGAUUUAGAUGUUCUAUGUAUCAAUCCAAAGCAUGUUUGGAGGCAUCUGAAAAGUAACUAUUUGAAAAUAAUAAUCUUUGAGAAUUUAAUUUUGUAUUAAAUGUUAAAAGCUCCUUUGAGUAGCUUUUGAAAAUCAAUAUUUUUUUUCAGAAUUUGAUUUCAUAAUACAUAAUGUCAAAAUUAUCCUCAUCCUGAAACCAUAUUUCCAAAAAAAAAAAAAAAAAAAACCUAAACUAAAAUUAAGGUAAUUUAUUUAUAUUCAAAAUUUUAACUGGAAAAAAUAGUAAGACUAUAGCUGGAUGCCAAUGAUUUCUCUGACGCCAUACCAUCAUUGGCAUCCUGAAAAAUGUUCUUAACACGAUGCCACGUACAUGUUAAGACUCAAAAUUAUUUAACCAAAGCAAUGACGACGUCAUCAUGAAAAUAAUGGAACCGGUGCCGGCACACGCCCCAAAGUAUGGCCGCCACCACAACCGCAAUCAAACAGAGGCAAACCAUCUAUGUCAUUUAAUAGAUGGGCAGCAAAAGCCAACAACUGUGUAGGUGGUCUUAUGCUGUGAUUCGCCGUCGAUGGCUGGAUGCCUCACAGUUUCAGUAGUGCGUGUUCCUUCAUCAAGUCUCCAAUGCCCAUGUCGUGCAACUAUGGAAAAGAGGCUCGAAUGGAUUCAGAAGCAGAAAAACAAAUUUGAAUGAAAUUCACUUCAGUAAACAUUAAUUUCGUUUACAUAACUGAAACUUGUCUAAAAGGCUAGUAUUGUGGAGUAGCCUUCGAUGAAGAUGCAGCAUUGCAAUUGUGAUUGAAGAGAUGCCAGAAAAUCAUAAGGAUUCAAAAGUAAUUAAUUUUUUUCGAGGUUUAUUUUGAAUAUAAAAGUUAAUUAAAAAAAUAGGUGUAAUGAGUACCUACAUCUGGUCAAAUAGCCAUAUUUUAAACGCCAAUGAUUUAUUGAAAAUAUAUAUAAAUAGAAAGUUGAAUACCAAACGAUUGUGGCUCAGUUGGCGGCACAGGCUGGGUAAGUGGGAAGAACUUUCGGGUUCAAUCCCCACUAAACACACCAUUUAGGAGGAGUAAAGAGUUUUAAUUGUGACUACACCCCGAAUCCAUAUUAGUCGGGGCCCAAUGAGGUCGCUUAUAGUUUAUAAUUUAUUUGUUUUACAUUCCAUUUAUAAGUCUUAUGUUCUAUUUCCAAACUUAUGUUUUAUUUUGCGCUUAAUGUUGAUUUACUAGUUUUAUGUUAUAUUUGUACAUUUUUGUUUUAUUUACCAGUAAUACAUUAAUUUAUCAGUUUUAUAGUAAUUUACUUGUUUUACCUUUUAUUUACAAGUCUUUUGUGUCAUUUUUAAAAUCUGUGUUUUAUUUUGAUAGUUAAUGUUAAUUUACUAUUUUUAAGUUAUAUUUGCAAGUUUUAGUUUUGUUUACUAAUAAUAUAUCAAUUUACUAGUUUUAUAUUAAUUUAGUUGUUUUAUUUUCCAUUUACAAAUCUUAUCUUUAAUUUCUAAAAUUUAUGUUUUAUUUUGCACUUAAUGUUGAUUUACAAGUUUUAUGUUGUAUUUGCAAGCUUUUAUUUUAUUUAUUAUUAAUAAUACAUCAAUUCACUAGUUUUAUAUUAAUUUACUCAUUUUACCUUUCAUUUACAGGUCUUAUGUUUAAUUUUUAAAAUUUAUAUUUUAUUUUACAGUUAAUGUUGUUUUACAAAGUUUCCUGUUAAAUUUAUAAGUUUUAUAUUUUAUUUUCAUUAUUUAUAUUAAUUUAUGUUUUAUAUUGAUGCCGUAACUUUAAUCACGUCAUCAUAAAAUGACCCUUAAGAGAAAACAUAUAAAAUUGACUUUUUUCUAUUCAUUUACUAUCUGCUGUACCGUACAUCCGCCUUGGCCGUACAGCAGGACGCCAUACCAUCAUUGGCAUCCUGAAAAAUGUUCUUAACACGAUGCCACGUACAUGUUAAGACUCAAAAUUAUUUAACCAAAGCAAUGACGACGUCAUCAUGAAAAUAAUGGAACCGGUGCCGGCACACGCCCCAAAGUAUGGCCGCCACCACAACCGCAAUCAAACAGAGGCAAACCAUCUAUGUCAUUUAAUAGAUGGGCAGCAAAAGCCAACAACUGUGUAGGUGGUCUUAUGCUGUGAUUCGCCGUCGAUGGCUGGAUGCCUCACAGUUUCAGUAGUGCGUGUUCCUUCAUCAAGUCUCCAAUGCCCAUGUCGUGCAACUAUGGAAAAGAGGCUCGAAUGGAUUCAGAAGCAGAAAAACAAAUUGAAGUGAAAUUCACUUCAGUAAACAUUAAUUUCGUUUACAUAACUGAAACUUGUCUAAAAGGCUAGUAUUGUGGAGUAGCCUUCGAUGAAGAUGCAGCAUUGCAAUUGUGAUUGAAGAGAUGCCAGAAAAUCAUAAGGAUUCAAAAGUAAUUAAUUUUUUUCGAGGUUUAUUUUGAAUAUAAAAGUUAAUUAAAAAAAUAGGUGUAAUGAGUACCUACAUCUGGUCAAAUAGCCAUAUUUUAAACGCCAAUGAUUUAUUGAAAAUAUAUAUAAAUAGAAAGUUGAAUACCAAACGAUUGUGGCUCAGUUGGCGGCACAGGCUGGGUAAGUGGGAAGAACUUUCGGGUUCAAUCCCCACUAAACACACCAUUUAGGAGGAGUAAAGAGUUUUAAUUGUGACUACACCCCGAAUCCAUAUUAGUCGGGGCCCAAUGAGGUCGCUUAAAAUCGGGUGGUUUAAACCAAAAAACCAAAAAAAAAAAAAAAAGUUGAAAGAAAUAGAACUAUUUUUUAUUAAAUAAGUUACUUUGAAAAUAAAUUUUUACUACAAUCAAAUAAAACUAUUUUUCAAUGUACUUGUUAAUGAUUAAUUUACCAAACAUACAUGCUAAAUUAUAUGACAAGUGAUUGUAUUACACUACCCCAAAAAAAAAAAAAGAUUUUCUGUUCUUCUGGGGAACGUUUGCGACUGAAAAAUAUUUGUCCACAAAUGAGUAAAAUUUUGCUGCCAUUAUGCGGGGAAUUAAAUCAGCUGUAAGGUUAAAAUAAGUAUCUAAUGCCCUUUUAUACUUUGGCAGUAAAAAAUAAAGAAUUAGCUGUAAAUAAUUUAAUUUUAUACAUUUUUCUGAGCCGAAGAUCUUAAUUUUAAAAAUUAAAUACUCUAGCAAUUAAAGCAAAAUUGGUAUUAUUUCGAAUUAAAAUAAUCAAACUUUUAUAACUUUUAACUCUUGCUUUCUCGCACGAACUCACUCAGAAUCCGUUUUAAUUUUUUUCUUUCUCGCAUUUAGCAUAGCCACUAUUCACCGAAGGCUACUGUUAUUAUUUCAUAUGAAAAUUAACAUCUUAAUUUUUAAAGCAGAAUUAGACAUUGAAGCCUAUUUUCCUUUUCUUUAUUUCUUAACCAUUAUAGGAAGUUAAACCUUGUGAUUUAGGUAGAUAACUUUAAGCAAUUGAUGUUUUAUUAUUUGAAAACCAAAAAGCAAGGUUAUUGUUUGUUUUCAAUGUCUAAUUUCGCUUUAAACAUGUGACUUGGUGAUGUUUGAGUUGCUUAAGAAUUUGAUUAUUCAAGCGAAAAGAUGAUACAUGUUUAUGGACUCAAUAGAAAAUUUGAGGAUUGUUGAACUAUUAUUGUAACUUUACUUGUUUCGAAAUGUGACUAAACAACACAUGAUUGACUUGAAAUUUUAAGUCAUAAAAAGCUGAAUAUGCAUAUUUCAAGUCUGGAGAUUUUGGAAUGAAUUGAACUAAUAGUUUCAAUCCUCACUAAAAACAGACAGAUCUCAUAUCUUUACUGAAUACGCCUUUCGAGUGGUUCUGCUGUACGGCUAAGGCGGAUGUACGGUACAGCAGUUGUUUUACCUUUUAUUUACAAGUCUUUUGUGUCAUUUUUAAAAUCUGUCUGCUGUACCGUACAUCCGCCUUGGCCGUACAGCAGUAGCAGAGCUUUCUUUUUACUGCAUGUACAUUGUCAGGAAGCCAUUUUUCAUUUUAUCUGCUUUGGCGUCUCAUUUGCCUAAUGCUAGUACUUUGAAAUUGCUUGGAGUAAUUCGCAGAGCUUUCUUUUUACUGCAUAUACAUUGACGGCAAUCAUGAUUUCUUUAUUGCUUCUUCAGAAAAUAUUAGUAUAAUUUCUAGUGCAACUCAAUAGCAAUAAUCGUUUACUACAAAAUGUGUAAAUUGUUCUACAGCCAAACUCGAAUGUGCUUAUUAUCUCUCUGAUGAUCAUCACUACUCAAACUGUCCUAGUUCGUCAUUUCUACAGCUGAGCUUUUAAUUGGGUUGCGAUGAACUCAUGUCAAAGCUGUAAUUCACUCAUGUCAAAAUUAUCUCAUGUCACCAUGAAUAGGUCAAAAGCUGAAAGAGGCAUUUACUCAUAGAGGGAGGCUUUUGAAGAAUCUAUAGCUAAAAGAGGCAUUUGCUUUAUUUGGUCGGCUUGUCAAAGGUAAAUAAAUUUUUAAGUUUACUAGACUCAAGUAUAUUAAGCUGUACUUUUAAAUAAUUUACAUAGAGAAAAUUUCCAAUGACGUAUUAAGGUUAUUGUCAUGUAAUUACAUACAUUUGAAAUAAGAUGAUGAAAUUUAAAUUUUAAGGGUGUUAAGCAAUACCUGCAUUUAUGUAACUUUCCCUAGCAUCUUGCCUGGAACUGAAAGCAAAUUGGACCAAAAAAAAAAAAAAAAAGAGCUGAAAGUAAAAUGCAACUGUAUUUUAUUUCCUUUUUACUAUAAAACCCAUUAUAUAAAAAAUUUGCUAUAUUCUAGUUGGUAAAUUAAUUAUUGAUAGUUGUAAGCAUGAGUACUUAAUCUAUUUCUAUAUACACUACUCAUGUUUUAUUAUAUGCAUUCUUCUUUUAAUUUCAGUCUUUGAAUCAUUUGUUGUACGUGUGUUGAAGGAUGUAGACAUGGGCAAAAGUUGGAUUGACCUAUGAGGUAGGUCCUCUGAUCGUUAGAUAUAUAUAAAGGAAAAUGAUAAACGAACUCAAUGAAGACAAAAGGACGACAGAAACGCAACUUUGAAUUGCUGUUUCACCCGUUGAUUUCUGCUUCUUUUAAUCUUGCGUGGACCCACAAGAAAUAAAAAAAAAAAAUGAGAAAACGAUGGUCAUUUCUGCCCCCUCCCCAACCACUCAUUUUCCUUUCCUUAGUUUACUCCCCCUCCACUCAUUUUACUUCCCCUCCAUUUGCUUCGUUACCAGACUCCCCUCCAUUGAGUUUGCUUCGUUCGUUACCAGACUCCCCUCCAUUUGCUUCAUUCGUUACCAGACUCCCCCUCCAUUUGCUUCGUUACCGGACUCCCCCUGGACGACAGACGCUUCUUGUUCUCGCUGAGCCCCCUUUUUUUUUUUUCUCGCCUAGCCCCAUUUGCUUCGUUACCGGACUCCCCCUGGACGACAGACGCUUCUUGUUCUCGCUGAGCCCCCUUUUUUUUUUUUCUCGCCUAGCCCCAUUUGCUUCGUUACCGGACUCCCCCUGGACGACAGACGCUUCUUGUUCUCGCUGAGCCCCCUUUUUUUUUUUUCUCGCCUAGCCCCAUUUGCUUCGUUACCGGACUCCCCCUGGACGACAGACGCUUCUUGUUCUCGCUGAGCCCCCUUUUUUUUUUUUCUCGCCUAGCCCCAUUUGCUUCGUUACCGGACUCCCCCUGGACGACAGACGCUUCUUGUUCUCGCUGAGCCCCCUUUUUUUUUUUUCUCGCCUAGCCCCAUUUGCUUCGUUACCGGACUCCCCCUGGACGACAGACGCUUCUUGUUCUCGCUGAGCCCCCUUUUUUUUUUUUCUCGCCUAGCCCCAUUUGCUUCGUUACCGGACUCCCCCUGGACGACAGACGCUUCUUGUUCUCGCUGAGCCCCCUUUUUUUUUUUUCUCGCCUCCCUCCAUUUGCUUCGUUACCGGACUCCCCCUGGACGACAGACGCUUCUUGUUCUCGCUGAGCCCCCUUUUUUUUUUUUCUCGCCUAGCCCCAUUUGCUUCGUUACCGGACUCCCCCUGGACGACAGCUGCUUCUUGUUCUCGCGCCGAGCCCCUUCUUUUUUUUUUCUCGCCCAGCCCCACUUGCUUCAUUACCGGACGACAUCUGCUUCUUGUUACCGGACGCCGACCGCUUCUUGUUCUCGCCCAGCCCAUAUCUACAACAGACACGAUCGCCUAGCCCAGAUCUACUACGACGUCGCUGCUUUGGAGACUUCUAGUUGUUGCUUGCUGCUGCAGUUGUAGUGACCCAUCCGUAAGCAUUUCUUUUUAUUUUUUAUUUUAUGUUGUGGAUGAUGAAAUUUUGAGAUUGACAAAGUAAGAAAAUUUCUUCCGUAAGCAUUUCUUGGGUGGGGUGUUUAUGGAAUAAGGGUGGAUCUUGAGACUUUUACGGUUUUCUUAAUUGGUUAGGAUGAGGCACUACAGUAAUUUAUUUUGAUAAGAAAAAUUACAAAAGCUAUUAUUUAGCAUAUUCAUGUCUUCUGAGGUUGGCAAGAUAAGAGAGAGGGAGUAGUUGGGGAGAUAUGUAGAGAUAUCAGAUUUAUGGGAGAGAGGUGGAUGAGAAAGUAUUUGUUCUCCUAUCCUGAAUGUUGUAAGUCUGAGACACAUUUUGAGGCUGAAUGAGUGUGGAGAGUUAUGACCUCUUUUUGUAAGUAAUAAUUAGCUAGUCAACUUAUUAUUCAUGGCAUGUCUGUGGUAAUGGUAUUAGACUCAUAUUGAUAAAAUAUUUAAUAUAAUAUGCGAAGCUUGACACUUUUCUUAUAACAGAUAUGGAUGUUGUAUGGCUUUGGACAUUAUUCAACCUUUUUUCACUGGGUCUAAUUCUUUUCAUGACUAAAAAAUAAUCACUGAAGUUUAAUAGACAACUGUAAUUUGAAAGCCGGGCAUAAACAAUUCUUGGCCUGAAUGUCAGAUGCAAGUAAAUGGAUUCAAAGGGAAUUCUUAUAAAUCUUAUAAAUCUUUGUUGGAUGUCGAAAUAGCCUACAAUGAUUACAUAAAAAGGCAUGAAAAAUUGCCAGAGACAUCCAAUAUGUUAGAAACUACAAAAUUUAUUGUGGAAACACUCGAAAAGGGGGUGCAAACUGAAGUGCCUACAUGCGACAAAGCUGUGCAAACUGAUAAAGGCGGAAAUGAUUGUAUUAUUCUGCCUAUAUUAUCCAUUGUAUGUUGUAUUUUAGGGAUAAUCGUUGCUAUAUGUAUUUUGCAUAAAUGAAAUUGUAUCCCGUGUUAUGUAUAAAUUUAAAUAAUUUAAAUAAAAUGAUUGUUGUGUAUGAGUUGUUAUCCUCUAGACCCUAUGCAUAUGAGAUAUGAAUUCUGGAACAUAAGAAAAAUAAUUUUGUAAAAUUAUGUCCUUGCACAUACAAAACCUCAUGUAUCUUUAGUGCUACUGAAACCUUCAUAGUCUAGUAUGAAAAUGGGUUUGUUUAUAAUUACUCGUUUUGUGUUCAAUAAUCGUAAUUUAUUGAAGUUUCAUUGGUCAUAAAGAAAUUGCACAUAAAAUUAAUUCACACCAAUUUCGGUUGAGAACAGUAUGUGAUGGCUAUUGAUAAUUGUCUUCAUGUAUAAUAACAUAAGCACAUGAAUCAAUUAUCAGUAGGUAAAAUUUCACCAUCACAAUCACAUGCAACUAUAGUAUUAUACAGAAUAUCAUAGCAUCACCGUUUCAUUCCCAUUGACUUGAUAUUACAGAAGUCAUACAAGAAAAUUAUUAUACAUUAUAAUAAAUUUUAAUUCAGAAUAACAUAUUUCAAAACUAAUCUAACAUAAUUGAGAACCUGAAGAAAUAUUUGAUAACUUAAACAGAAUUGAGAACCUGAAGAAAGGCAUGUACAUAAGUAUAAAAGCAGAAAGAACAGUUCAAUUAAAGACGUGGACAUGAGUAUGAAAACAAAAUUUAAGAGGAAGAAUUAUUACCUUUCACAAAGCUGGAAAUAUUUGCACUGAUUGCAAAACCAUCGGUGCCUAUACAAUAUCACUUCAUGACAGCGUGAGCAAACAAAUUGCAAGUGGUCAAGAGGAUACAAGAAUCUGAAACAGUGAUAAAUUGAAGAUGAUUAGAUUUGAUAACUUAAACAGAAUUGAGAACCUGAAGAAAGGCAUGUACAUAAGUAUAAAAGCAGAAAGAACAGUUCAAUUAAAGACGUGGACAUGAGUAUGAAAACAAAAUUUAAGAGGAAGAAUUAUUACCUUUCACAUAGCUGGAAAUAUUUGCACUGACUGCAAAACCAUCGGUGCCUAUACAAUAUCACUUCAUGACAGUGCGAGCAAACAAAUUGCAAGUGGACAACAUUAAACAAAUCUAACAUAAUUUCAAAAAUUUAAAGUUCAAUUUAACACAAAACAGUAUUCCAUCACUAAAAUUUCAAAGAUUUAAAGUCAAAUCUAACAUAAUUUUAAAAUUUUAAAGUUCAAUUUAACACAACAUUAUUUCAUCACUACAAUUUAAAGCCAAAAUACAAGUGAAGUAUCAUCAUUGUUAUCUUCAUUACGCUGCUGCUGCUGUAGUAACUGUUGGAAAUUCUCACUUUGAGAUCCUUGAUAAGUCAUCGAAGGAGAAGAAUAAUGCAACUGCAAAGUAUACGGUGGAACUGGUUGCUAUAAUACAUAAAAAUAAACAUCAUAUUACAUUACAGAAAUAUUAAAAUAUAUGUAUUCAUUAACGACUUAUAAACAACAACUUACUGUGUGUCAAUUAUAAGGAAAUGACUGAUAAAUAUUGCUUCCACCGAAUUGGGAUUGGUACAUAGGUACCUAAUCAAAUAAUAAAAUAUAUGUAAAAUUCAUAUAAAAAUCUUAAAACUAAAAUUUAAAUAAUUUAAUUCUUAUAUUAUAAUAGUCCAUAGUGCCGCAUUGGUUGAGAUUUCCAUAAUGAUAAAAUGAUGGGGCAUUUUCUUGUAAAUCCUAUAAGAUUAUUAAAGAUAAUUUAACUAAGACCAAAUUAAUUAGAAAAUAGAUCUUUGUUUUUAAUCAUACCUUAUUUUUUUGUGCGGACUUGUUCUUUUGAACAGAUUUCUUACGAAUCGAAGAUUAUUUCCUUAGGCAAGGUGGACGACCUUUACGACGUGUCACUACUGGAUCAUUUAGUGCAAGUUGAACAUUGUUGCUGCCACAACUUACUUCGCCAAUAACAGUUCUUUCCACUCUCUCACUGUUAAUUUGUUUGUUGCUGCUACAACUUGCUCCACCAGUAUUAGUUUUUCCCACACUUUCACAGCGAAUUUGCUUGGGCAGAUCCUUCAUUGCUUUCUCAAUCUAAUCCAACACCGUUUUAUAGCUAUUUUCAUCAUCAGAGGCUAUGUCUGCAACCGCACUGAAAGUGUUACACAUUUUUUCAUAUCUUUCUUGCUGGAUGGUCAAACUCUGCACACCAUAACAAACUUUUAGCUUACUAUAACAUCUCCUCACAUCUUUCCUCCACCUUGAUAAAAUGUAUCUUUCUGGAAGUAAUUCAACUGAGUUACGUAUCAGCAUUGCAAGGGCAUGCUUGCAAAGAAUCCCUCUAAACUGGAAUUUUGAAUAUAUACAAGUAACUUCACACUCAGCUUCUUCAAAAACAACCUCAAAUAAGCCUCUCCGACCUUGCCCAAAUGAUUCAAUUAUUUGAUAUAUUGAUCCCACAUAAUCCGAGAUAUCACAAUACAUCAGAGCAGUCAAUUCUUCUUGAAAUUCUUUAAACUUGGAAAUGGUGUACACUUCUUCAACUUGCCUCUCCAUCUCAUAUCUUGAUACACAUGGUGUCCUUUUACUGAAACACUUGGCAUCUGCUUGCCAUUCUAAUUCAACUUUCCUCCUCAAUGCAUUUUCAUAUUGCUUUACAAACUGUUUCAGAUUUAUUUUUGAGUUAACAAAUCCAUCAAAAAAUGCAUUCAUACUUUCACUUCGCUGAGUUGUUGACAUUCCUGCCCAAAAAUAGCAUUUUAAAUAGCAUGGGACCCAACGAUACCUCUCCUUAUACAAACCAUUUAACCAAUCACUAUCCCAUAAAUCAUAUUCUGUAAUCAUGCAAUGCCAAGCUUCCGCAAACGCAUCAGAACUUAGUGAAUCAUAAACAGCAGAAAGCAGGGAAGAUAUAAUACCUUCACGUUCUUUAAAAGCCCCUAACUUCUCAGGCACCUUCUUCAUUAUGUGCCAUAAACACCAUCGAUGCCUAGUAGUAGGAAAAACGUUUUCAAUUGCCUUUUGCAUUGCCCUUUCUUGAUCUGUAAUGAUACCAAGGGGAGGAGAAUCAGACAUGCAUGAUAGCCACGCCUCAAAUAACCACGUAAAUGUCUCUGUAUCCUCGCGUGAAAUCAAUCUGCAUCCCAACAAAAUAGAUUGUCCAUGGUGAUUAACUCCAACAAAGGGCGCAAAUGGCAUGUCAUACUUGUUGGUCAGAUAUGUAGUGUCAAAUGUAAUGACAUCUCUAAAAUAUUUGUAAGCUGCCCUACUCCACGAAUCUGCCCAAAACACAUUCUUUAAUCGAUCAUCUUCAUCCAAAUCAAUGCUAAAAAAAAAUCCAUUACAUUCUGCUUGCUUUUUCUGGAAGUACUUUAAAAGCGCCAUAGCAUCUCCUUCCUCAAGCUGUAAUCGCCUUGUUUUGUUAACAAAAUUUCUACAAUCUUUUUCUAAAAAUGACACAUUUUCAUACCCACCAGCUCCAACAACAAUAGAAUUAAAAUUUUGGACAACUCUAAUUCCUGCACAAUCAUUCAUUUCAAUUCGCUUUUUAGCGCUUGCACUAAUUCUGCGAUUGCAUGGGAAAUACCUAGCUUUGUCUGGACUCAAUCCAUGGUUGUGUUGAAGAUUUAAAGUUUGAAGAACCCAUUUUCCAUCUUCAUUUAGACAACCUCCAAUCUUUGCAUCACAACCAUUUUUCACAUUCGGUUUCGGCUUCAAUGCAUUAACAGAUUUACUUUCUGACUUGCCGCUACGCCCAUAUGCAAAUGUCGCAUAUUUUACAAUUCCAUCGGUCCCCUUCUUAGUACUUCGAACCUUCACAGGAAACCCCUCUUGUUUACCAUAAGCUUUGUAAAAUGCAAACAUUUCUUCAUGAUUAUCAAAUAACAUUCCAAGAGCUGACUCACAUUUGUUCGGUUCCACAAUUUCAUUUACAUCGUUAGCUCUUGUUUCUUGCAACUCUUCAAAUGCAUGCUCAUUUUCCAAAUACUCCAUUUCUACAAAAUAAUUAACAUUUGUAUUAAGAAACUUAUAUAACAUUUUGUCCAGUAACGAAAAUUCCUAACAAUUUAAAUUUAUAAAACACAUCCACAAAUUUUUAUAAUUUAUUCCAUUAUCUCCAACAAUUUAAAUUAUAAAAUCCUAACAACUUAAAUAUAUAAAACACAUCCGGAAAUUGUUAUAAUUUAUUUCAUUAUUUUUAGCAAUUUAAAUUAAAAAAAAUUCUAACAUAUAUAAAACACAUUUAGAAAUUGUUAUAAUUUAUUCCAUUAUUUCCAGCCAUUUAAAUUAAGAAAAAUCCUAACAUAUAUAAAACACAUUCAGAAAUUAUUAUAAUCUAUUCCAUUAUUUCCAGCCAUUUAAAUUAAAUAAAUCAUAACAAUUUAAAUAUAUAAAAAGUAAAAAUCUACGAAUUUUUGCAAUUUAAAUUAAAUAUUCUAACCAUUUAAAUAUAUAGAACACAAUAAAAAUUUUAUUUGAAUGUAGUGAGAGUCACUAACUUACCAAUUAAUCAGUACUAAUUUUAUCAAUCCCUCUGUUUGUAGAUCUAGAUCUAACUUCUUCCUUGUGAUAACUGAGAUGCAGAGACGGAACUGGUUUGAGUUUUUCCUUCCUGAACGUAGAUCGUAAAUGAGAGGUGAGAGAUGGAGAGAGACUAAAGACAGAACUCAAAAAAUAAUCUCUUUCUUUUCGUUACUUUUCUUUCUUUCUUUUGAUUAUUUUAUUUUUUAUACUCAAAAAGUAAUAGACAAAAGCUGUUAAUGCAGUUGAAACAACAGAUUCACGUGCCUAUUUUUCUGUCGUUCUUUUGUCUUCGCGGAGUUCAAAUAGCAGAACUCAUAUAUAAAAGUAUAUAUACAACGAUGUGUUCUUACAACCACCGAUUAAUGAAUUAAAAAGAAUUGUGGCAUGAAGAUGUUCCAAUAAUGAUGCACUAAGUAAUCAAAUGUUUAAAUUGCAUGCAACAUUAAUGGUGGAUUAUAAUUGAUUUCCCUGCCUAUGCUAAUUUGUCAGGUUGGAGUACUAAAGACAAUACCUCAUAUUUUGGGUGCAGUGAGAACACUAGAUCUUGUUGGCUGCCAAAUGGGAGAAAGUUUUGUUACAUGGGUCACCGUAUAAGUGAACAAGGAUUACAUAUUUUGAUAAUUUAGUUAAAUUCUUUUUGAGUUUGUAAUAGUUUAUACUUAUUGAUAUAAUAAGUUACGGAUGCUUCUAGUGCACAGCAUGAUGAUGAUGCAACUUUUGGGACAAAUGUUCUGGUUGAUUCCCAAUAUUGGAAUGUCGUUGAUGACCUACCUAGAUUUGUAAGUCAGUUAACUUAUACAACUAAUUUUUUUACUCGUCAAAUCUAGUUUUUGGUCUUUUGUUCCACAGUAUUUUAGUUGUUACUUUCUCUUUAAGUGGUCGCUAAUGUGCUAUCCCAUUUUAACAACGGAAUUUAAUUUUAGUCUUGUGAUAGAUUUUAUCUUAUACAAGUUAAGAUACUAUCAAAUGUCUUUGAAAAAAAAAAAGAUACUAUCAAUGUUCCAAAGUAGUCAAUAACUAUGUUCUGAAUCAAGUUGAGAUAUUGUCUAAUGUUCAAAACUAGUGAUUGCUUUGAUGUGAAUGGAAAAACAUAGACUACCAUGACUCUGUUGGAAUCAUUGCCUUGCUUAUAAUUAAUCAUGCUAUUAAUUUUAUAGAAGAAAACAAUACUAGAAAUGCAACAGCUACUCUAAUUGCCUUGUUGGUCCCAAAAGCCAAGAUCUCGUCUUUCUUUGAAAAUUGAUUUGGAAGCGUUGGAAAAUUAAGAUUGGAGAAUUAAAUACUUUUUAUUACUUUUUCUUGUAUUAUUGGAUUUUGUAUAUGGAUCUGUUUGUUGUUGUUAGUUGCAAGGAUGUGAUUUUGAAUCUGUUAUAAUCAGUUAAUUAUUUAGUUUGUAAUCUCAUCUUUUAUAAUCAGUUAGUUGUUUAGUUUGUAAUAUCUUCUUUUAUUUUUUCGUCUUUCAGGAUAAAUGGAUGACAUUCCACCGGGUUGUUGUGUUGCUAUGUAGUAAGGAUGCUUUACCAUAAUAGUGGAGUUUGAGCUGAAUUGUAUAAAAUUCAUUAUGCUUUUUAGAGAUGAUGCUAGCCUUUCAUGUAUUUUUUGGAGAUCAUACUUGUAAUAUGAUUGGGUGAUGCACUUGGUGUAAUAUACUAGUCUUUGGUGGAUAAAGAAAAUAUUAUAUUUGAUAAAGAAACAGUUAAUUGAUUAAUUUUCAAUAAAUUGUGUUUACUAUCAUUAUUAAAUAAAAUAAAAAUGAAUUGAUUUAGUGAAAUGGAAAAUAAGCUUAUAAAAUUUGUGGAGGAAUCAAUCUGGGAAUUAAAAAUGGUUCCAAGGUUAUUUGCAGGAAAAAAAAUAUUGCCUACAAAAAGCGGCAACAAAAUCUAAGAGCACUUUUGAAUUUAUUUGCAAAGAAAUUUUAUGGCUGCAAAGCCCUCGUAAAAUUCUUUUUGCAAGGACUCAAAUUGGCUGCAUAAAGGCUUGGACUUUUGUGAGGCCUCUUACUGCAUCCACCAAUAUAUUGGUUGCAAAUAGAUAAUUUUUAGCCGUAAAAUAAUUAUUUUCUAUUUGCACCCAAAACUAUUUAUUUACAAGGAUUGUUUUCAGCAGCAAAAGCCCUUGUUUGAUCUAGUGUUUUAAUCUAAAUUAAAAACAUUGUCAUAUAUAUAUAUUCUCAAAUUUAAAGGACAUAUUGAAGGCCAGUAACAUGUGAGUACAAAGCUCAUGCGCUAACAAUUAAACAAUUAACAAAUUUGUUUUCCCUAAACCCAUAAUUAAUUAUCUGGAGUGCUUUCCAUGAAGAUGUUCAACAGGCAACUCGUAAAGAAUUUGUACAUGUACACAGUAAGUUAGGUUCAAAACUGGUGAGAUUAGUAUAUAUGGACUUUAAUCUCUUUCUUUUCUUUUUUAUUUUGAGAAGUUAAUAUUUUUUUUCCCAGUUUUGCAGAAAUAAAGCUAUCAAGAUUGUAAUUUGAAAAAAGAAAAAGAAAAAAACUCUCUGCCGGCACUGCCGAGAUGUAAAAUUUGAAGAGAAAGAUAAAGACAUUAAUUAACAUUUUAUAAAAAUAAAUAAAUAAAUAAACUUAAGAGAAAGAAAACUUUCUGAAAGUCGAAAGACUUAAAUAAAUAAAAAAGAGUGUUUAUUUUUUAAAACGAAUAUUUUUGACAUUAACAUGAGUAUAAUUAAAAAAAGAGGUUUUAAAAGAGGAUUUUGGAGGGGAUGCCAUCAGUUAUAGCCCCUGUUUUAUUUGUUGAUUUUGUAUUUAUAAGAUUUGGUCAAUUGGUCUGGUUCAAUAAUUGGUGCACAGCUGACGGCUCCGUAGCAAGUUCGCAACUAUAGGGUACGGCAUUUGAAAUGAUAUUACUGGAUUACAUUUGAUAUAUGCUGUUGAUUCACGUGAUUUUCUAUUAUUUCAUGUUCAAAGACUCAAAAUCAUGACAUAUAUAUAAGCCAAUUAUCUUCAUUGGUUUACAAACAAAUCUGGUCUGUUGGAAGGGAGAAGAUAACGGCAAAAUUUUCACUGGGGUCUGAGUAAAAGUGGAGCUGUGGGCAGUGGCGGAUCUAGAAAAAUAAUUUACCGGGGACUAAAUUAAAUAACAACAAAAUGUAAAAAUUGAAAUUUGAAUAUAUAAAAUUUUUUAUAACACAUUUACAAUUGUUCUCUAUGUGAUUUCAUAUUUUGAAAACGUUGUGCAAUAGACUUAUUAUCAACAUUAUUAAAUAUAUAUUUUUCUACAUAAACAAUUAAAUUAUUAUUCAUCCAUUCAUCUCUCAUCCGAUUCCGAAGUUCAUUUUUCACAAAUUUCAUUGCUGAAAAUGUUCUCUCUAUUGUGGUUAUAGAAACUGAAAGAACGGGACUUUUUGAUAAUUUGAUAGAGAUUAUUUAAAAAUUUAUUAAUUUUUCUUUUAAACAAAAAAAUAUAUAUUUUUUUUUUCAGUGGGGGCUCAAGCCCCCACUAGUCCUACGCUACAUCCGCCCCUGGCUGUGGGGCUCCGUCGUAUUUGUCAUGAUUCUUACUCAAAAUAUUGAUUAUUAUUCAUAUUUUUACGUGAUAGCAUGAUCCAAAAUAUAUAGUUUUUAUGCUGUAAACGCUGAUAUGUUCUUAUCCAUCUAAGUAUGUCUUAUUAAUUGGUGCAGAUCUCUCUUUUUUUUUUGGUGGGGGAAUAGGAAUAUACUUGAAUUUGAAAAUGAAUGUUAAUAUUUUUUAUAUAUUAAAUAUUAACUUGUUUAUUUUUUCAAAAGCUAAUACAAUCACAUUUGUGAUUACAAAAUUUUAAGCGUUAAUUGACUAAUAAACAAAAUAUAAAUUCAAUAAAAUAAUAAUUUCCCAUAUUAGCAUAACCCGUGGUAGUGGAUUUAAUUCUAAUUUUAUAACAAAGCAUGUAAAAAAUAAUUCAAAGAGAAAUUAUAUUUUCUUUUCUAUUCGUUCAGUGAAUUGUUUUUUUUUCACCUUCAAUAUGAGUGGUUCGAGUGAUUUUAAAUAACUUUCUUCAACUAACCACAAAGUAAAAAAUAAAUAAAUAUUUUCCAUUUUUCUAUAUAUAUAUAUAUGUGUGUGUGUAUAUAUAUUAUAUGUCUGGCUAAGUUAAAUCAGUUUUACUGUAUAAUACUGAUAAUAACUACAUGAUCAUAGAGAUAAAUAUUAAAUUUACAUUUACUACUAUAAUCUAACAGUCCUCAUCAAUACUCUAUCAUAGAGCUAAUUUAACUUAGGUCAUGUUUGGAAUUAAGGUACUAUAUCUUUUAAUCUACAAUUAUUAUGAAAAAAAAUUGUAAUUAUAAAAUAAAAAUUAAUAAUAUAUAGUAAAUAUAAAAUUUAAAUAAUAAUUUAAAUAAAAUUAUUAAAAAUAUAAUAAAAUUUUUAUUAUACAAAUAAAAAAUUAUAUUAACAUAAUUUUUAAACUACAAUAAUUAAUAUUUAUCAAAUACUUUAAUAUUAUAAUUUUUAAGAUACGUAUGCAAUUCCAAAUGCACCAUAACCACUACCUGUUAAUAAAGUUCAGAACCGUACUUUUUUCAUACCAACGAGUCAUGAUUCUUAUCCGAUUGCUUGGUUGACUUGAAAUCUUAGAUUGAAGGCGCUUUUUUCAUACCGACGAGAGGAAACUUUCAUACCAACGAGUCAUGAUUCUUAUCCAAUUCACAAUCUAAUGUUUUGCGGUCCAUCAUAAGCUUCAUGCAUGUGCUCCUCACAACUAUUAGAUCAAGAUCCAACGGUUGGUCAAACUUCAAAAGUCAACAUCAUACGUGGCAUCAGUUGAUAUUUGGCGGGUUAAUGGGUGGAUCGGGUUGACCCAAAUACAAAGAUUCGGAUCCUACAACUUGUUUCACCAACCAUUGCCACGUGGCACAAUUAUGGCCAUUGGAUCAUGAACGGUUGAGAUUUAGUCAAAAUUGCCAGCUAUCCCAAGCACUCAUAUCUACUGUAAGCUCAUUUCAUCAUCCAAUCAGUGCUCGGUUAACAGGAAAAGUCAACCCUUUUUACACAAGCCCAAUUUUAAGCCGAUCUUGACUGCUCUUAAUGUUUUCGGACCUCCGCAAUCCAAAUUUGACCUCCGUUUAUCUAUUUGGAGCCUCAAAUUACGUAAAAUUAAUAUUUUACCUAAUGAACACAUAAAAAUACACAAAAUUAAAUAUAUUUAAAACAUAAUUAAUAAUUCCUAAUAUAUUACAUAAACACAAAUAUAAAUUAUAACAUAAGCACAAAAUAAUAUUAUUAUCACUUGAUAAUUAAACAAUUUUUAAUACUUAAUGGUUGCAGCUAUGCAUUUUCCUGUGUAGUCUCUGAUCAUGGCCCGUAAUCCAGAACAUUGUCUCUUCGCAACAUCGACUGCAUCAACAUUGAUUUUUAACCAUCCUGGAGAUGGGGGAGUCCAUUCAUCUUGUUUCUUCUUUUGCAAGUUCUUUUCAUUCUGCAUGUCUGGGAAUUGGAUUUUUUUAUAAGCCCCCUUACUGCUUCAGCCUUAGCCAUUGAGAUAUCUAGAUCUAUCUUUGUCCCUUCAAAUACAAACUUGUUUCUAGCAUGACAAAUAAUCCAUAACACGGUCACUAAAAGUUCAAAAUCAGCUUUACUUAAUCUCCUUUGUAGCUUUAUCAACUCUCCUAGGAGGUCUGAAUUACCUAUUUCAUGAACUGCACUUGCCACAGGAGAGAGUUGCAAACUUUUUUUGCUGCCUUGCAGGCCACCAGUGUGUGCAAAAUGUUUUCCACUCUAUUUCCACAAUGCUUACAGCGAGCCUCCUGAACAAUUCCACGCUUGUAGAGAUUCUCAGCCAUCGGCAAUAGAUUUGUUACUACCUUUUAGAUGAAAAUUUUUAUCUUCUCAGGGAGGAUAAGCUUUCAUAUAAUACUCAAGUUGCUGCUAUUUUAAGGGCCACUUGGUAACCACUCUUGACAGAAUAUUCUUUUUUUUUUCAUAGUGCCAAAUCACCUUAUCUUUUCUUUUUCUUCUUGGCAAAUGAAUGCUUAGAAUUGUCUCUGCGUCUUCCUUUGAGAAUAGCUUCUGAACCAAAUUGGUCUUCCAUUUGUUCUCGUUGUCUAUCAACACUAAAACUGUGGUAUCAUGAGACAAAUUUAGUGUGGAAAUUGGUUUAAAAGUAGAUGGUCUUAGGAUCUAAUUACCUCUAAAAACCAAAAUGUUUCCACCAUUGCCAAUUCUCCAUCUAUACUUUUCCAAAUAUAAAAGGGCUAUGAAACCAUUGAGGUACUAAAAAAAUUAGUUUAUUUGAAAUACCUUACCUUCAACACUCUAACUGCCAGAGAGUUUGAAUUUUGAAUCAACCUCCAUCCUUACUUUGCUAUUAAAGCUUCGUUGAAGCUUGAUAUAUCCUUAAACCCCAUACCUCCUUGACUUUUAGCUUGGCUCAUAUGUUCCCAUUUUGUCCAAAAUAUCUCUUUCUUCUCAUUUUUGUUGCUUAACCAGAACCUAGCAAUAGCCUGUUGGAUGCCAUCACACAGUCCUGUUGAAAUCUUGAAGAUACUCAUCGCAUAUAUUGGAACGACUUGUGCAACUGCCUUGAUUAGUGUCUCUUUUCCUCCACUCGAGAAACACUUUUGCUGCCAACUGGAAAUCUUACUCUGAACCUUCAACUUCACCUCAUUGAAAAAGUUCUUUGUUUUCUUCCGAUCAUAGAGGGCAGCUCCAAGUACUUUUCAUGCUUCGAGACCAUAUUGAGCUAAAAGACUCUCUUGAUGGCUGAAAUUAGAUUUUCAUGGACAUUACCAUUGAAGAACAUGCAAGACUUGUUGAAAUUGAAAAUUUGUCCAGAGAUAGCAGCAUAACAGUUAAAUAUGUCCUUAAGGUGUUGGCAGUCUUUGAGUGAGGCUCGGGAGAAGAUCAAGCUAUCAUUUGCGAACAUGAGAUGGGAAAUAGAUAUGUGUUGUCUAAAUCUCAGCCCCUAUAUUCGUUUUUGCCUCUCUGCCUGUGUCAGCAAAUUAGGGAACGCUUCUGCACUUGUUGUAAAGAGGUAUGGAGACAAAGGGCAUCUCUGUCUUAAUCCUCUUUGAGGGGUGAUCAUACCCUUAAGAGUCCCAUUGAUGAUUACUGAGAAAGAUGAUGUAGUAAUACAGUCCAUUACUAAUUUUAUUCAUUUCUCAUUAAAACCUAGUUUGCUCAUUGUCUGCCUUAAGAAAGCCCACUCUACUUUAUCAUAUGUUUUGCUGAUAUCAAGCUUCAAUGCCACCAGAACAUUUUUUCUACUUUUGCUAUGUCUAAUCUUGUAGAGGCAUUCAUACACAACAAUAUUAUUAUCUGUUAUUAAUCUAUUGGGGAUGAAAGCACUUUGAGAUAAAGCAAUCACAGUGUGUAGGAUAGUUUUCAGUCUAUUUACCAUAGCUUUUGUAGCAAUCUUAUAUAUGACAUUACAAAGACUUAUUGAACUAAAUUCAGUGACUUUCCUAGUCUUUGUUGUCUUGGGAAUUAAAACAAUGUAAGUGUGGUUCAAGGGAGCAAUGGUACCUGCUUUGUUAAGAAUAUGAAGACAUAUGGUGAUUGCUUAUUCUUUUUUUUACUAAUGUCCAGUGUUUUUGAUAGAAGGCAGCGGGUAAUCCGUCAGGUCCUAGAGCUUUGGUUAGGCAUAUUUGAGUCAAAGCCUCUAUGAUCUCCUCUUCUGUUAACGGCUAGUAUAGAUACUCAUUCAUUUUUUGUAAUACUUUAAGUAUCAUUCCUCUUAGAGCCUCCUUAAUUUGAGCUUGAGUGGGGCUGGAAGUGUUGAACAAUUUGGCAAAAUUCUCGCAAAAUUCUUUCUCUAUGUCUUCAUUCUCCUCAAUCCAUUCUCCUUGUGCAUUUUCUAUGACCUAAAUUUUAUUAUUUUUCUUCCUAGAUAAGGCUUUGAAAUGGAAUAAUUUUGUAUUUUUAUCUCUGUCUCUAAGCUGAUCUGCUCUAGACAUAUACUUCUAAAAGAUUUCUUCGUAUAGUAGGAGAUAAUAAAUCUAUCUCUCAAUACUUUUCAAUUCAUCUCCACAUUCUUAUUGUCUGCUACAAUCUUAGAGCUCUUUUAUUCUGUGUAUUAACUUCUUUAACUUUUCCUUGCUGCCCUUGAAAGUUUCCUUACUCCAGCACAUCAGUUAUGCAAGCGUAGCUUUGCUAGUUUUCUUAAAAAUUUGGAUUGGAUUGCUCUCUAACCGUUCUCCCUUUUUGGACCACUUAUGCUUAACAAUAUCCUUACACUCGUCGUAAGAACUCCACAUAUCUUCGUAAGGGUUUCUUGCCAACGUCAUUCUGCUGUAACUUGCUCUUUUUUUCCUACCUAUUGCUUCCAUCAUCACUAGAUUAUGAUAAGAACACCAAGUGAUUAAGUUUUUGCUGCAUGAUCUUGAAAGAUUUGUGUCCAAUCUUCACUACACACACUUUGAAUCUCAUGUUCGACCAUAUAAAGAGGUGUCCCAUACAGCCUAAAUCCUUCACCUUACAGUCCCUACUUGCAUCUCUAAAAUUAUUAAUCCAAUUAGCAUCUUUGUCAUUUUCUCCAUUUUCUCUUCCAAGUGCAAUAUUUCAUUAAACUCACCAAAGCAUAACCAUAGAGAGGAAGACAAACCUGCGAGCCGAUGAAGCAAAGUCCAUGUGUGUUUUUUUUUUGCUCACCUCUGGAUGUCCAUACACCCUCGUGCAUCUUAUAUGUUUCCCAUUCUCCAUUUCUAUUUCUGCAUUAAUGUGGUGGCUACUAAAAGAAGUAAUGUUCACCUUUACAUCUCGAGCCCAUAACAUAGCUAGGCCUCCACUCCUACCAUCACUGCUAAUUGCAAAACAACUUUCUAACUUUAGCUUUUUGCGAACAUUAUUCAUUUGUAUUGCCGAUAGGUUAGUUUCACAUAGAAAGAUCAACUGAGACUUGUACAAAUGGAGGAACUUUUGAAGAGCUUUGAAAGUUUUAGUCAUUCUUCAUCCCCCGGACAUUCCAAUUUAAUACUAUUAUAGUUGUCAGUGGGGCUGAUCAUCAGCCGUUGUCGAUAAAGCUGCAAUUUGAAUGGUUUCAACUGGUUCCUCCAUUCUUGAGCCAUCCCAGCUUAGCUUGUUUCUAUGUGAAAAUAGAUGACAAGAAAUUAUUUUAGUUGCAACAGCUUUGUAAAGACUCUAAACCCAUGGCUUCUUGUGAUUUGGGCUUGCUUUUAACAAUUCACCACUAUACCAUUUUCCCACAAUUGGCCUAUCUUUUAUAUACUCUUUCUUGCCUUUCUAGCUUGUAUCUUCUAUUUUCUUCUUUUGGACCUUAAUGUGUUUUUUCUUAGCCCAUCAUCUAUUACCUCAUUUGGACUUGAGUUGUCUUGGUCUUGCCUUGGGCUUGUAUUUGAAACUUGGUUUGGCUCUAAAUUGUCAUUUUUUCCCCUCUAAAUCCUCUGUUCUUGCUUUUUCUCGGCUAUUUCCAUAAACCUUAAGUCUGUCAACUAUGUUUUUAACCAUUGUUUUGCCAGACUGCUUCUAACUAUUGCCUUGCCGUUUCCUUGGUCCCAGAGUCAUCAGCAUUAAUUUCUCACCAGUCUUGACUGAUUGCCCUUCGUUUCUCACCCGAAAUAGAUUGGUUUAGCUUCAAACCAUUUUUAACUUGGUCUAAACCCGUUUGUCUUGACUAGAUUCUUCCAUGAUGUUCAAAUUCUGUGUCACCAUUGGUGGCUUGCUCAAAUCUUCUAUUCCAUAUCUUUUUCCCUCGAUUCACCUUAGUUUUCUCAGCUUUGGACAACACUUUCAUAUAUGUUCCAUACGGUAAUUUCUCCUUAGGUUGCCCCUUGUAUGUUUCACACUCCUUGAACUGGUGUCCAAAAAUCCCACAACAAAAGCAAAAAUCUGGGAGCCGUUCAUACAACACUUGUAACUCUACCUUAUCAUCAUUUGCAAGCUCCAAGAAAACCAUUUUUUAUAACGGUUUCGUUACGUCAAUGGGUAUUCUAACUCUUGCAUAUGGGCCAAUGCAUUCACCUUCACAUCGAUUUCUACUUCCAAGACCUCUCCAAUUAGUUCUCCCGGCUUUUGAGCACUUUCUCACUCCAUACACCCUAGUGGUACAUUAUGAAAUUGUACCCAAAAUGUUGCAUGUGUGAACUUCCGUUGCCUUCUAUUUCUAAUUCCAUUGGGUUCCUCUAGCACAAUCAAAGCCCUGUCAAAAUGCCAUGGUCCUCCAGCCAUUACUUUUCUCUUAUAAACUUUUGAACCAAACUUGAACAAAAAGACAUUGUUUCCCAAGUUUUCAAUCUUCACCUCUUUGUUUAUCCUCCAUGCUUGCGCCAUUGCUGUCCUGAUUCCCUCUGUGUGUAUACUUCUUGCUAAUAGAACUUUACCAACUAACGAAUUGGCCACUAUUUGUCCUCCUUUUUCUUUCAUUCUGCUUAUAAGAGAGAGCUCAUGCUUACUGCCUUCUUGGAUAGAAAUAGCUUUACACUUGCGUAUUAAUUCUCUAUGUCCAUCGAUGGUGUUCACAAUAAUUGCUUCCCUAAUAACUACCCUGAGUUUAAAACCAUGAUGUUUUAAUCACCCUUACUCACCCUCUUAAUUUCACUCCCUAAUUUUAGACAACUAAUGAUAACAUUACAAAACACUCAAACACAUGAGUGAAUAAGUGGAGCUAUUAUAGCUCCAACCUGCUUCAUUCUUUUGUUCUCUUUCAGAGAAAAAGAGAGCAUUCUAGAAGGAGACUCAACAUAGAUGAACAAACUAUAUAUUUACUUAUUAUUUUAUACUUAGUGUUGAUUUACUAGUUUUAUAUUAUAUUUGUAAAUUUUUGUUUUGUUUACUAGUAAUACAUUAAUUUACUAGUUUAUAAUUUAUUUGUUUUACAUUCCAUUUAUAAGUCUUAUGUUCUAUUUCCAAACUUAUGUUUUAUUUUGCGCUUAAUGUUGAUUUACUAGUUUUAUGUUAUAUUUGUACAUUUUUGUUUUAUUUACCAGUAAUACAUUAAUUUAUCAGUUUUAUAGUAAUUUACUUGUUUUACCUUUUAUUUACAAGUCUUUUGUGUCAUUUUUAAAAUCUGUGUUUUAUUUUGAUAGUUAAUGUUAAUUUACUAUUUUUAAGUUAUAUUUGCAAGUUUUAGUUUUGUUUACUAAUAAUAUAUCAAUUUACUAGUUUUAUAUUAAUUUAGUUGUUUUAUUUUCCAUUUACAAAUCUUAUCUUUAAUUUCUAAAAUUUAUGUUUUAUUUUGCACUUAAUGUUGAUUUACAAGUUUUAUGUUGUAUUUGCAAGCUUUUAUUUUAUUUAUUAUUAAUAAUACAUCAAUUCACUAGUUUUAUAUUAAUUUACUCAUUUUACCUUUCAUUUACAGGUCUUAUGUUUAAUUUUUAAAAUUUAUAUUUUAUUUUACAGUUAAUGUUGUUUUACAAAGUUUCCUGUUAAAUUUAUAAGUUUUAUAUUUUAUUUUCAUUAUUUAUAUUAAUUUAUGUUUUAUAUUGAUGCCGUAACUUUAAUCACGUCAUCAUAAAAUGACCCUUAAGAGAAAACAUAUAAAAUUGACUUUUUUCUAUUCAUUUACUAUUCUACCCUUCCUUAGAAAAUUUUAUGACAUUUCUAAAUAGUUUGGCACCAAAAUUAAAGAAAAGAUGAGAGCAUUUGCAUUUUUUAAUUUUUUUUAAUCCUAGCAAGUUGUGUCAGAUAUUAAUUUAAUUUUUAAAAUAUCACAUUUUGAAUAAUUGGUUUACCUUUUUUUAUAUAAUAAAUUAUGUUAUCUCUCAGCUGGAGGGAUGAAAUAAGUAAUUACAAAUUAAAUAAAAAUAGAAAUGAUAAAUAUGACAUAUAUGAGGAAUGAAACAUGCCCUUUGAGAUAUAGAAAAGUAAAGUCCCAUAUUUCUUCUCAUAGUCUUUGAAUUCUUUCCUACUUACUCAACAAUUAAUAAUUUCUCUGUAGAAAAUUGAUCCUUGUUUGCUGUCUCAGAGCCACCGGCUUUCAUUAAGCGUGAUCAACCAGCCAAAACAACCAAAUCAACCUCUGUUCGACCUGGGGAAAUUAAUGAUCGAACGAAAAGGGCAUCCAAAUUUUGCGUUUUAUCGCUGCAUGCCAAGUCAAAAAAUGGCAUCCAUACAUAAAAUUGCACGAGUAUAUUUUUGCACAAAGACAAUUAAUAAACCGAAUGAAUUUAUUAUGUGGAAAUAAUAAUCCUCUUUGUUUGAACUAACCCUCCGCAGAAUUUAAGGUUGUGGGGUUUAAGUGGGGUAACAAUCAUUUUCCGAUGAAUGAUCAAACAAUGUGAUGAGAGAUGCAGGGCGUGGGGCAUAGGAUUGAUUGAUGACCAGAGGCUAAGAAUUAUUUUCUCAACAGACGAAGACUCCAUUGACUCUCUACUCUCUUAUAACAUUUUCUUUUUCUAUUUUCUUCUCUUUUCUUUUCCUUUUUUUUCCAAUCAUGUGCGUCAAGUAAAUAAAACAUAAUAAGAGCAACUCCGUAAAACUUUCGAAAAUAAUUGGAAUAUGAACAAAACUCUUACCAUUCAUAGACAAACAUGAAAUUCAACUUGAUAAAAUAAAGUUCAAACAUCCUUACACAUAAAGAUAAGAUAUCCAUUUUGUUAACGUGUGGACUAGGGAAAAGUCGAGGGUGUUUCUAAGGUAGUGCUGCUUUCCCAUUCAUUCUUAAUGCAAUCUUCAAUGAAUAAAUAAAAUGCAAUCUUCAGUGAGUAUGAAAGACGUUCUUGUGGACUAGACCGAUGUGUCUAACGUGUCUUAAAAUCUUUGAGUAAAUGCAUUCAAAUUAUUGAGAGUGAGUUUGUUUGACGGUAUGCACGCUUUCUAAGACCGCGUUAACUAAUAAACUGAAGAAGUGCUCCUCUAUCAUAUAUCUCAUCCCAAAAUUCAAGUUAAUUUUCCUUCAUUAUUAUAUCUAAUGCGUAAAAGAUUAUCGGUUUGUAGUGAAUUAAUUUUCCUAUAGAGAAAAAUAGCUAGCUAGCAACCCUUGUGGUAAUGCUGGCUAAUUAAUCAAGUAAUCUUGAAAUGCCUUUCCGACUUAUAAUAAUAAAGCUGGUGGCGCUGCUGCUAGUACUGCUGCUAGCAAGUGCAGCAGCUGCUGCUCAUGCUCAAGCCAUGCACGCUGCCCCAACCGUUGUGGAGACGUCCAGAUCCUGUAUCCAUUCGGUACAAGGCCGGAUUGUUUUCUGAACGAAGACUUUCUUAUAACUUGUAACGAAACUCAUUACAACCACCCAAACCAUUUUUAAUGAAGUCAAAUAUUGAAGUUGGAAAUUAAUCAAGUAGAAACUAAGCGAUGACUUGAGGUCAACGGUCAACCAUUAUUUUCUCGCUAGUUAUAAGAAGGCUAGCUACGUGACUCAUUUUUUCUCUUUUUCCAUUAUGCCCGUCAAGUAAGUAAAUAAAACAAGAGAAUCAAUAUGAGACUAAAUCCUAACAAUAUUUUGAUAGAAAUAAUAAACUCAAAACGAUAUUGUUUUAGAUGAGUUUAAUUCUUUUUAUUCAACUUCGUUUCGAGAGUGCUUUUAUUAGGAUUUUGUCGAGGUUUAAGGCAUAAUCACUUUCCUUAUAUUUUAAGAGCAAUUUGAUAAAAUUCUUUCCAGAAUUUUCCAAAACAAAGAAUAAAAAUAAAAAUAAAAAUAUGAUAAUAAUAAAGAAAGAAAAUAAUUGGAACAUAACAAAAUGCUACCAUUUAUAGCCGAAUAUGAAGAUCAAUUAGAUAAAAUAAUGCUGAAACUUGGUAUAAAUGAAUGAUAAGAUUCCACUUUGUUAACGCGUGGAGUGGCGUGUGUUUAUUGUCUCAAGUGUCCUUAAGUCUUUAUGAGCAAGGGUGCGUUUGGAAUUGAGGUUAGUAAACACUAGCUGUUGUAGUUUGGAAUCUCUGUUGAUAUGAUUUUUCACUUAUAUAAUAGAAAAUUUGUUAUAUGUUUAAUAAUUUUGUCAAAAUUAUUAUUUAAAAUUUAUGCAUACUACAUAUUAUUAACUUUUGUUUUAUAUUUAUAAUUUUUUUCCCACAACAACUGUAACUUAAAAUGUACAAUACCUCAAUCCCAAACAGAAUCUAAAUUAAAUGCAUUUAAUUAUUGAGUUUGUUAGUGGUCAAUCGUCGAUGUAUCAUUUUUCCAAAAGCAACAAGAGCUAGCGAGAAGAAUCCACUUCUACCUCUCUGACUGGGUUGCUAAGGUACAAAUCUUCUUUGUGAUUUUGUUUGUUUUUCAUUUGCAAAAUUCGACUAAAAUACUGUAGUAACGAAUCUUUAGCAUGCAGUACUGCCAAUUCAUACCAUAAAAUACUAUAAGUACCAUUUUCCAUGCCAACCCAUUAGCAUAUGGUAUUGCCAAUUCAUGGUGUCUUGGAGACAAUGUCUUCUUGUUGUACGCUUCAGACAACAUUAAAGAACUGCAUUAAUUGGGUGAGAAAUUUCUUCUCCUAUUAAAAAAAAAAAAUGAUUUAUGGCUAAGAAUUGGUAUUUGUGGGCAGAAGUAAAAGUAUGGGACCCACACAUCAUUUUGAUGAUGUCAUGAUAAAGUUUUCUCAGCAACAAUUUCCAGGAAAAUCCUUGGCAAGGAGUCCUAAUCGAAAUUUAGCCAUUUAAUUAAAAAAAAAAACGUUUACGUUUGACCCUUAUAUUUAUGGAUUUUAUAUUGUGACUGCAUCAAAUUUAUAGUUUAUUUAGUUUGACUCUCUUAAACCAAAAUUUUGCGUUCGCCACAAUCAACAAUACUUAUAGAAAUAAGUUCAACAUGAACGUUUUUUUUUUUUUUNNNNNNNNNNNNNNNCUUUUACAAUAUUACCCUUUUAUAAUAAUUUUUUUAUUUGGACAUUAAUAAAAAAAAUAAUUAAAUUACCAAUUUAAACCUACAAAAUUAAAAAAAUAUAUAUUAAUUUUUUUUCCAAGCACCAUUUGCACACUUGGUAGUUUGCAUACAAGUUUUGACAGUUUAAUUUUUGACAAUUAAAAAAUAAUCUAAUUAUGAAUAUAAUUUUUUUAAUUUUCUAGGGUUAAAUUGGUAAUUUAAUAAUUUUCUUUUUAUUAAUGUACAAAAAAAUUAUUAUAAAAGGGUAAUAUUGUAAAAGCAAGACAAAAGAAAUAAAAAGUAACGGUAGGGUAUCAAUACUUUAAUGGCAGGGAUGUUUUGAGGUAUUUUAAAAAAUAUAGGGACUAAAUGAAUACUAAUCUUAAAAUAUAGGGAUUAAUUGGGCUUUUACCCUUUAUUUUAUAUGCUAGAGAUUUAUUAUUAUAGUAUGGGGUAAAAGCUCAUUUAGUGCCUGUAUUUUAAAAUUAGUAUCCAUUUAGUCCCUGUAUUUUUCAAAAUGCCUCGAAACAUCCCUACCAUUAAAGUAUUAUUACAUCUACCGUUACUUUUUAUUUCUUUUCACUUACUUUUACAAUAUUACCUUUUUAUAAUAAUUUUUUUGUUUGGACAUUAAUAAAAAAAAUAAUUAAAUUACCAAUUUAACCCUGGAAAAUUAAAAAAAAAAUUAUAUUAAUUUUUAAUUGUCAAAAAUUGUAUACAAACUACCAAGUGUGCAAAUGGUGCUUGCAAAAAAAUUAAUAUAAUUUUUUUNCAAAAAAAUUAUUAUAAAAGGGUAAUAUUGUAAAAGUAAGUGAAAAUCAAUAAAAAGUAACAGUAGGGGUAUUAAUACUUUAAUGGUAGGGAUGUUUCGAAGCAUUUUUAAAAAUACAGGGACUAAAUGGAUACUGAUUUUAAAAUACAGUGACUAAAUGGUUUUUACCCCAUACUAUAAUAAUAAAUCUCUAGCAUAUAAAAUAAAGGGUAAAAGCCUAAUUACUCCCUGUAUUUUAAGAGUAGUAUUUAUUUAGUCCCUAUAUUUUUUAAAAUACUUCGAAACAUCUCUGCCGUUAAAGUAUUGAUACCCCUACUGUUACUUUUUAUUUAUUUUGUCUUACUUUUACAAUAUUGCCUUUUUAUAAUAAUUUUUUUGGACAUUAAUAAAAAGAAAAUAAUGAAAUUAACAAUUUAACCCUAAAAAUAAAAAAAUAGAUUAAUUUUAAUUGUCAAAAAUUAAACUGUCAAAACUUGUAUGCAAACUAUCAAGUGUGCAAAUGGUGCUUGCAAAAAAAAUUAAUAUAUAUAUAUAUAUAUUUAAUUUUGUAGGUUUAAAUUGGUAAUUUAAUUAUUUUUUUUAUUAAUGUUCAAACAAAAAAAUUAUUAUAAAAGGGUAAAGUGAUAAAAAAAAAAUCAAAGAAAAAUGAGUCAUUGUCCCCCUCCAUAUAAAUUUACGUUUUCUUGAGAAAAGAAAAUGUAUGUUUCAUUCUUGAUAUAUCUCAUAUUACUCAAUAAUUAAUAAUUCUCCAUAGAAAAUUAAUCUUCGUUUGAUGUCUCAAAACCAUCAGCGACUUUCAUUAAGCGUGAUCAACCAAUCAAAAUAAUCAGAUCAAUAGAGUUGGGGAAAUUUAAUGAUUGAGCAACCCCAUGUGAUUUUUUUUAUGAUUUUUAUUUUUAUUUUUAGUGAUUACGUAUGAUUUUGUAUGCAAAUAACAUUACUCUUAGUACUUUGUUUCAGCCAACCCCACGCAAAAUUUAAGUUGGUUUUGGGAUUCUCGUGGGGUAACAAUCUUUAAACAAGUUCUUUUUUUUUAUAAUAUUAAUUUGUAUGUUAAGAAUCGUAUUUACUUAAAAUAUAUAAGUAAUAAAACAAAAUCAUAAGAAAAAUUAAAUUACUCUCGAAAUAAGUUUUGUUUUUUAUAUAAUGGUGAUAAAAUAAUUAUAAAAUUAUAAUGGAUACUGAUUUUAAAAUACAGUGACUAAAUGGUUUUUACCCCAUACUAUAAUAAUAAAUCUCUAGCAUAUAAAAUAAAGGGUAAAAGCCUAAUUACUCCCUGUAUUUUAAGAGUAGUAUUUAUUUAGUCCCUAUAUUUUUUAAAAUACUUCGAAACAUCUCUGCCGUUAAAGUAUUGAUACCCCUACUGUUACUUUUUAUUUAUUUUGUCUUACUUUUACAAUAUUGCCUUUUUAUAAUAAUUUUUUUGGACAUUAAUAAAAAGAAAAUAAUGAAAUUAACAAUUUAACCCUAAAAAUAAAAAAAUAGAUUAAUUUUAAUUGUCAAAAAUUAAACUGUCAAAACUUGUAUGCAAACUAUCAAGUGUGCAAAUGGUGCUUGCAAAAAAAAUUAAUAUAUAUAUAUAUAUAUUUAAUUUUGUAGGUUUAAAUUGGUAAUUUAAUUAUUUUUUUUAUUAAUGUUCAAACAAAAAAAUUAUUAUAAAAGGGUAAAGUGAUAAAAAAAAAAUCAAAGAAAAAUGAGUCAUUGUCCCCCUCCAUAUAAAUUUACGUUUUCUUGAGAAAAGAAAAUGUAUGUUUCAUUCUUGAUAUAUCUCAUAUUACUCAAUAAUUAAUAAUUCUCCAUAGAAAAUUAAUCUUCGUUUGAUGUCUCAAAACCAUCAGCGACUUUCAUUAAGCGUGAUCAACCAAUCAAAAUAAUCAGAUCAAUAGAGUUGGGGAAAUUUAAUGAUUGAGCAACCCCAUGUGAUUUUUUUUAUGAUUUUUAUUUUUAUUUUUAGUGAUUACGUAUGAUUUUGUAUGCAAAUAACAUUACUCUUAGUACUUUGUUUCAGCCAACCCCACGCAAAAUUUAAGUUGGUUUUGGGAUUCUCGUGGGGUAACAAUCUUUAAACAAGUUCUUUUUUUUUAUAAUAUUAAUUUGUAUGUUAAGAAUCGUAUUUACUUAAAAUAUAUAAGUAAUAAAACAAAAUCAUAAGAAAAAUUAAAUUACUCUCGAAAUAAGUUUUGUUUUUUAUAUAAUGGUGAUAAAAUAAUUAUAAAAUUAUAUAAUAUUAUAGUGUUAAAUAAAAAAUUAAUGCUGCACAAUUUUAUGGUUAUUUUUAUUACCAUUGUGUCACCAUUAAGAUUCUUUAUCAUAUUUCUUAUUGUAGAUGUCUUCGAACAGUAUUUGGAUUCUUUUUUUCUUACUUAACAACUAAUAAUUCUCUGGAGAAAAUUGUUCCUUGAAUUUGUCAAAACAAUUAAUAAAUUUAUGUGGGACCCCCGACUAGGAAUUGAUCGAUCCAUUUGAGAGAUGAGGAUGAAUGGUGGGGGUCAUUGAUGGGUUUGUUUUAUUGUUGUUACUGUUGGAAAAAUAAAAUGUUUGGACAAUGCACAAAGACUUCCUUAACUGACUCUUCAUGACUAGGCCAAAUACAUUUAUUGGGUUUGAGUGUUUGACGGUGCGCUUGUUUUGAUGCUCUCUGAGGCACUGAUGGGAAUUGGUUUUGUUCUAUCUUUUAAAUUAUAAUUACUAUGGUAAAAAUUAUAUUUAUGAAAUAAAAAUUAAUAAUAUAUAAUAAAUGUAAAUUUUAAAUAAUAAUUUAAUAAAAAUAAUUAAUAAAUUAUAAUUUUUAAUAGAUAAAUAUAAAAGUAAAUUAACUUUAAUUUUUUAAUUUAUAGUUUGUAAAUAUUUACUAAAUACUUUAAUAUUGUAUCUUUUAAAAUUUUAAUCAGAAGAGUCAUGGCCACAAGGCUAACUCUUAUGAAGAGAACUAUAAGACAUCAGCACAAUUCUCUUCAUGAAAAUUGACCUGUCUAAUUAGCUCUUGUAACUUUUAAAUUAUAUCUAAUAAAUACCAAAUAGGGUUUAUACCGUGUUUUAAGAAUUUUCAAAGUAAACUAUAGCAGCUGAAAUCCUCUAUCAUUAUAAAAUCCAAAUUAAAUCAAUAAAGUGUUGGCUCCACUGAUAAUGGAGUCCCCUUAAGUGGCUUGACUGGAUUUGUUCCCCAGUUCGAGUCGCAGAGAAGUCGCAUUUGUUGGAAGAACCUGUGCCUCUCGGUUCGAGCGGGGACUUCUAAUUUGGGUUGUGGUACGGGCUUAAAGGUGCCUCCCACAAUUGGGGCCAUCCUCAGGAUACCUCGUGGUAAAAAAAAAAAAAAAAUAAUCCAAAUUAAUACCUAAUGAUCUUUCCUAUAAAGCGAACUGGCUAGAUACCUAGAAAUAAUUAUGAGAUUCCUCAAAAUGCCUAUCCGACUUAUUAUGCUGGUGGUGCUAGUGCUGCUGCUACUACUGGCAAUGGGCUGCCGCUGCAGUACUUCUGGGGCAAGAACUACAGCUGCUGCUCAUGCUCAAGCCAAGCCUGACUGCCCCAAUCGUUGUGGAGACGUCGAGAUCUCGUAUCCAUUCGGUACGAGGCCUGGUUGUUUUCUGAACGAAGAAUUUCUCAUCACUUGUAACGACACUCAUUUCAAGCCCCCCAAACCAUUUUUAACAAAGUCAAGCAUCGAAGUUGUCAACAUAUCCAUCGACGGUCACUUGAAUGUCCUGCAAUACACCGCGAAAGACUGCUACAAUGCUAAGGGAUAUUCGGUAGACAGCAACUUGCCUUACAUCACUUUGUCCAAAUUCACCGUCUCUAACACAGAAAACAGGUUUGUAGUCAUUGGCUGUGACAGUUACGCUUACGUUCGCGGCUACUUAGGUGAGAACAGAUACAGAGCCGGUUGCAUGUCCUUGUGCGACAGCUUUGACUUUGUCACCAAUGGGUCCUGCAUCGGCACUGGAUGUUGCCAGAUUGAGAUUCCAAGAGGGCUCAAAGGACUCGAAGUGGAAGCAUCCAGCUUUAACAAUCACGAAAAUGUGUCAUCAUUCAAUCCAUGCACUUAUGCGUUCGUUGUUGAUGAAAGCCAGUUCCAUUUCACCCCCAGUUAUCUUGCCGUGGGGGGCAUACCAGAGAAGUUUCCUGUAGUGCUUGAUUGGGAAAUAACCACAAUUGAAAUAUGCGAAGAAGCAAAAAUAUGUGGACUCAAUGCAUCCUGCGAUAAACCCAAGGAUAACACCACUACUUCUUCCGGCUAUCAUUGCAAAUGCAACAAAGGUUACGAAGGCAAUCCAUACCUCUCUGAUGGUUGCCACGGUAUAAAUCUUUAAUCAUUCUCACUCACGUGCGGAUGUUCAUUUUCUAAUUUUUAAAUUAAUUUUUAAUUAAUUAAUAUAUUUAUAAAAAAAAAUUAUUUAAUUGCAGAUGUUAAUGAAUGCGAAGACCCAAGCCUCAAUAACUGCACGCACAUAUGUGACAACAUACCAGGAAGUUACACAUGUCGCUGCCGCAAGGGGUUUCGUGGAGACGGAAGAAAAGAUGGAGGAGGUUGUACACGCAAUCAAUAUACUGUGAUUAAAGUCGCUCUAGGUAAUUAGUACACACACCUUCUCCUAUAUUUUUUAUUUCGACAUAAUUUGCUAGCCUUUAAUAUCUUAUUUAUUAAUUUUUUUCUAAUAGAUGUGGAGAAAAUCCAACUGUUGUUAAUGAUGAUGUUUUAAGAGAAUAAAAUAUUUAAACCAAAAAAAGAAAUUGUUUAUUGUUUUCUUUUUCAUAUACUUUGAGUAUGGUCUUAAAAGAAUAAUAUAUUUUAAAUUAAACCAGCCAAGUACUAAUAACUGGGUACUUUUAGCACCUCGGUUUGUUGAACUCACACAGAAUUCAAAAGCUAUAUGAUUGUAAUUAAACAUGUAUUUAUUUCCUAGGUAAAAUGUUUUGUAUUUAAGCAUGUCUAAAUUUUGUACAAAUACCAUUACUGAGAGAUGUGUUGCAUAGUUUUAAGGUGUAGUAUGUGCGGCGGCACCAGUAUUGAUCCCUGGGAGUGGGCCGAGUUUAACAAGAUAAAUUCCCAUUAUUGGAUGUUGGAUGAUCCAAAUUUUUGUCAUUUUUUUUUAUUAGUUAAGGGCUUAAGGCCAGGUUCUAAUUUUUAAGCUUGCAUUCUAAUUUUUUUUAAAUUGUAGUUUUGACCCUCAGUUAACUUAGUCUUACAGUUAGGUCCAAUAAAACAAUUCGGGUGCAACUUUCGUACUAGGGGUUAAACUUUUGUCCUUAAAUAUUAAAUUUUGUAUUUUAAUUUUGAGAAAUUUAAUUACUUAUCCCUUCAAGAUUGGUUUGAGGGGGAAUUGAUCAAAAUUGGUCUGUGCUAGCUUUAAUCCUGUGCUCUAGAAUUAUAUACACAAUCUAUGAAGUUUUGGUUUCAAGUUCAUGUUUCUUAUUCAAAGCAUAAUUGUUUGCCUAAAAUGUAAGUUAAGUGCAUGUUUAAGCAGCCACGGACAUGAGUGUUAAUUAAGGUUGCAUAUUAUACUCUUAAAUUUAGUUUCUCUUGCUCGCUAGCUCUUUGAAUUUGCAUGUUUUAAUUUACAUGUAGGGGUUGGCAUAAGCUUUGUAGUUGCGAUUAUGAGCAUCUCUUGGCUUCACUUUCUGUGGACGAGGAGAAGACACAUGAAACUUAAAGAAAAAUUCUUUGAGCAAAAUGGUGGAAGUAUUCUACAACAGGAGCUCUCUAAAUUGCAAGGUCGAUCUUCUGAAAAAGCAAAAAUUUUCACCGAAGAAGAAAUCAAGACGGUGACAAACAACUAUGCCGACAUGAUUGGCUGCGGAGGCUCUGGCUUGGUAUACAAAGGAUUUUUAUCAAACAAAACUCCAGUUGCCGUAAAGAAGUCCAAAAUCGUCGAUCAAACAAAAAUGGAUGAAUUCAUCAAUGAACUGGUUGUGGUCUCGCAGAUCAACCGCAGGAAUGUGGUAAGGUUAUUAGGUUGCUGUUUGGAGACACAAGUGCCUUUACUAGUUUACGAAUUUGUUGGAAAUGGCACCCUCUUUGAGCAAAUUCAUAAGAAAGGCAACCUUUCCUGUGAAAGGCGUUUGAGGAUUGCAGCAGAAACUGCAGGAGUGCUUUCGUAUUUGCAUUCUGAAAUUAAUGUUCCAAUAAUUCACAGAGACGUCAAAUCUGCUAACAUACUCUUGG